rnacentral:lncRNA from 1 species
CCCCUUCUCUUUUUCUUCUUUCCCUCCCCAGUUUUUGUGUUUCUUCCAGCUCUUGAGGACGCUGCCUGCCCUUUCUGCUAUAAGAAGAUGUCGUAUGGGUCCAUCACCAGCGGAGGUGGCCUGGGGACCCGUGGACCUUUCAGGGGAUCCUCAAGGCAAGGCUGUCAGCCUCCAGGUAAAGACACACAGCUGGCACCUAGGAUGGGUGGGCAUGGUGACAAUGGGCAGGUCUUCUCCAUGUCAUGUUCCCUGAGGAGUGUGGCCCAUGACCAGAGACUGCUGUGGCUGCUGAGCUCCAGAUGCAGGGAGUGUACAGACUGAGGGGCUGUCCUGUGUGGGGGCAGACUGUGGGGUCAGCAUUCCUGUGGGGUGAGGAGCUGGCGCUCAGUGCUGAACUGUCGAUGAUGCCUGGGUGUCUGGUCGUGGCUGAGCGCAUGAAUGAUGACAUCCAGCCUUCUUGAUGCUGCCGCGGAGCAGGUGACCAUUUGUGUAGCAUGUGGAGAAGAAAACUGAGCCCUCACUUGGGGGAUGACAGCUCCCUGGGGCUGUGCAGCUGGCGUAGGGCAGGACUGAGAUCUACCCUGACACUUCUGAGUGCCAGAGCCCUGCCUGUGUGCGUCACUGAGCUCUAGGCCCCGUCCCCUGCACCUGGCCCUGCCUUGGGCCUCAUGGCCACCUCCCUGUUCAGCCCCCUGUAGAGCUGGUGUUGGACAGGGGCUGUUGCCAGUUUUACACAUGUGGGUGUGACCUGUAAGGCACCCCUGGCUCCCUUGUUAGGCACGCCCUGGCUGCCAGGCUCAUGCGGCUGCAGUCUCUGGUGCAGGGCAACCUCAUGAGCUGCCAUCUCGAGGUGGGGAAAGACAUGGAAUUUGGGGUGCCUGAGCUCUCUGCUCACCUCCCCCGGCUCUGGGCCAGGGUUAGGGUUCAGCCUAGCGGCUACUGCAAGCCUACAUGUGUUGGGCCUGACUCCACUGAGCUUCGGGUGGGGGCUUCUCUGUGGGUUGGGGGACUCUCUUCCCUGUGGCCCUCCAGGCUCCUGGCCAGUGCUCAGUUCCUCAGGCUGCCUGUUCAGAGGAGGAGGCCAGGCAUGGGCCACCACUGGGCUUGUCAUUGACGUUUAGCUCUGCGUCUCUAGCAAAGAGUGGGGCUGGUGUCUUUCUCACUUGUGGUGGGAAGUGGAUGGUACAGGAAGGGUGAGGGUCCCAGACCUCAUCAGAAGUGGCCACCUCCCUCUUCCUCAUGGGGCCACUGCCAUACAGGACCUCCCCUUCCUCUUCCCAGAGAACAGCAGCUGCCCAGGCUCCUCCACCCUCAGCCUCCUCUUCUCCACUGCCGGGUGUUGUGUGCCAGGCUGUGUUCUAGGAGCUGGAGGCAUGGGGUAGAGGAAGCAGGUGAGCCCCAUGCCCUAGGGUCACAUUCUGCCUGGGAGAGUUUCUGAGAUCACCUCACGUGGGCACCGUGAACUGUGUGAAGAGCAAGACUGGGCUGGCUAGCCAGGGCUGCUUGAGCCGAGGAGGUGAGGGAGCCUUGGAGGUGAGGGAGCCUUGGAAUGGGGACAGUCUGUGAGCCAUCAACUGGAGCCUGGGAGGGGUGGCAGUGAGAGACGUGGGCGGAAGGGCAGCAGGACAGUGUCCAGUCACAUGCCUCCUUCCACGGGGCUGGGGCAGCCCUCAGGGUCCUCGGCAGGGUGCAGGGCGAGCGCCUUUCUGAGCCCUCGGUCUGCAUGUGUUCUCAGGGCCCUGUGUGCGGUGCAUGCUCGUGGUUCAGGUGCAGAAUUCAUCGAUCCUGGGCUUCAGAUCCGCACAUGCCCUUUCAGCCCGCCUCCCUCCCUCCGGGCCCGAGGCCUGUGCGUGUUGCUCUGUUUCCUUAGUGCUGGUUUCGAAGUGGCUUUGGGCCUUAUCGAGUGGGAUUCGUGUAGUUCUGGGACUUACUUCUCCUCUGCAUUUUGUUCCUGAGGCCAAAGGCACGGCCAGGUCUCCUUGGGCUCAUUCUCCCGGUGCUCUGCAUGCAGCUCUGCAGUGCACUGUGGCAUCUCUGCCAGCUCCAUGUCUGAGGGACGCCCAGGUUGCUUCCCUUUCCAUGCCAGCACAGACAGUGGCCAGAGUCUUCAGGGUGGAACGAGGGUGGCAGUCCUGCGGGGUCCCUGUGCGCCUGCUCUUCUCGUGCCGCCCACCCUCUUCCUCCGGCCCCACUCCAUGUCUUUGUCAGCACCAAAUGGUGUUGGACAGGGCUGUUGCCAGGCUGUUGCCAGUUCACACAUGUGGGUGUGAGGCGGUCUGUCUGGCCUCAGUCUGUUUUCCUAGCUCAGGUGGGUGACCUUUCAUGUUUACUGGGCCCUGAGGUCUUUCCUGUAGCUCAUUGCUCUUGUUUUUAUCUUGGAUUUGUCUUGUUUUUCUACAUUUCCUCUGUGUUGGGGACGGAAACCCUCAAUGACGUGCUGUGGACACCCCCGUGGGUCGUGCCUGCUGUGGGCAGGAAUUCCCACUCCUCUCGCCCGCACCACUCUCCUGUCAGUUGGUUUAAUGAUGUGCCUUUGUGUUCUCCAGGAAAGUGACCUCGUUGAUGGCGUGAGGUCGUGUGAGCAGGGAGAGGGACUCUAACGUUUUUUCCACGAUUUGAGCAGCAAAUGGUCCAGACCGUGUAUUCUGCCUUUUUCUGCAGACCUGCAGCACUGGCCAAGGAGAGCCAGUGUCCCUUGGGGCCUCUCGGUCAGUUUUCUAUUCUGGUGUUAAAUGCGUCUUGAUUUUUGCAGCUUUCUCGUAAUUCUCUGUUUUCCAGGGCAGGUUGCCCUUCUCAUUGCAGUAUAGAAAUGCCUUAUGUAUUUUGGGCUUUCUGUUAUUGAACAUGAAGUUGAGAAUCAGUGUGUCACAUUCCUGGGUUUGGCUGGCUGGCUCUGGGUCCGCCUGCCCAGGCACGAGCCUUCACGGGGACCUCCUACCCUGAGCCCACGGCAUGUCGUCUUUGGAUGUGUGGUCUUCUUUCACGUCUUUUGAUAGAGCCUUGUCAUUUUCUCCAUGAAGAUUUACAUAUCUUAAAUUUGUUUCAACAGAAGAAGAACAACAAAAACAUGCUGCUAUUUGGCUGCUAUUUUCGGUGGUACUCUUCAGAGUAUGACACUUCUCCAAAUGUUUGUUGCUGGUGUACAUAUACAGUUGUUAUUUUAAAAAGCAGCGUCCAGAGAUUUUAUUUAAUUUAAAUGUUUUGCUCUUUUAACUUUUUAAACAUGGAUACUUUCAAACAUACAAAAGUAGACAUGGUGAUGUGUCUACCCCCAGGGCAGCCUUCUGUGUUCUCUGUUGCUACCCCCCACUCCUGCCCGGCUGAGCUUGUCUGAACCUUCCCAAACCCUGACGAGUCAGGCUUCUGGUCACCUGGCCUGAACAUCUAGUUGUCUCCAGUGACAGGGUUCCAGCGCUGCAGCAUGUCUCAGCCUCGAUGCUGGGUCACUGAGUUCUCCCGUGGCUGUUCUUGUGACACUUCUGUGUACCUUCUGAGCCCAUGAUCGCCUGGGUGCCUCCAUCUCGAUUUCUUUUGCCUCGAGGUCUGUUUGCUGGAGGGAGCAGGCUUCUGUGGAGUGUGGCCGACCUCUGCCCACUGUUUUGCACGCAGCUUCUGCUAAACUCCUCUCCCUAAUGGCCGUGACUUGUCCGCGGCAUCUCCUCAGUUUCCUGUAAGAUGACGUCGUUGUCUCUUCCUGUCCCUGGCUUCAUCCUGUUUGUUUUCUUCCCUUCCUGAGUUAGCUGGAGCCUCUCUCCGAGGAUUGAUGGAAUUGGUGACUGUAGAUGGUGCCCUGACUUACGAAGGGUCCUGCCCCCAUGAGCCAUCAUGAGCGUGAAUAUGCUGGUGUUCCUCCCUGGCGUGCCCAGUCUCCCUGAGGUGCUCAGGACCCUGCAGUACCUACAGCUGGGAGCAGAUGGCCUCACACCAAGGCUGUCUUAAUGAAGUGUUGACUCCUGACGCACGGAGACUGGCGUCUGCAGACACCAGGUGCAGGACCUCAAGGCAUGGUGUCCAGAAGGCUGUGGCAGCACAGCAAUCUGUAAAGUUGUAGUAGCUUCCUUGGUGAUCGUGGGAUUGCCUGGAUCUGCCCAGAAUUGCAGGGGAGGGUCCCCUGUGUGUCACCAGCCCAGGAAAAGGUCACAGUCCAGACCUUGAUUUCUAGUAACUGCUUUCCCACUCACAGUGAAAAGUCCGGCCGAACCGUCCCGAGUCACGACCCUCAUGUAUUCCUGUGAAUUUGUGGGCACAUAGGACUGUGUGUUUCUGGGAUUUUGCUGGGAGACUGGUUUUGUUUGUAGGAGUUCUGACUUCCUGUUAAGUUCCCUUAUAGUAAAAAUCUGUUCAGGUUUUUGUUUCUCCUUGGGUCAUUUUUUUAAGUGGCAUUUUCUGGAAAAGCAUCUGCUUCAUCCAGAUGUUCCCGUGUAUUGAGGUGGAAGGAAUGUGCACAGAGCUUGUCCUGGCCAGGUGCCACGUGGGCAGCACCCUGGGUGGGCUGGAGCGCAGACUCCAAAUAGCCUGCUCUGGGCCCAGCACCAUCUGAAGGUAGCAGGCGAGUUGGCCCCUGCGCUGGGCCACCUGGGGUCCAGGUUGAGUGAGUUGCUUCCUGUGUAGCCAGGGCCUCAGGAGGCAUGCAGUGGCCAGUCGCCCUUGUUUGACUCAGGUUGUCAGUGUCCGAGUGAUGUCCCCUUCACUCCUGACAGUGUGUUCGCCUUCCCGUUUUCCUCUUUGAAAUAGGUGUACAGAUCUCUCUGUGAUGUGACUUCUUCAGAAAGACUUCAUCUUUCUGCUACUUGUUAGCUUCAAAUUUUAAUUAAUUUCUGCUUGUAUUUUCUUUAUUUUCCUCCCCUUUUCUCGAAUUGAUGCUAUUUUAUUUUUUCUGACUUGCAGAUUGGAUAUUCUUCUUGUUCAUAGGCAAUACUCAGCUUUUAUUCUUUCCUAAUAAAAGUAUUUAAAAUAAAUAAAUUUCCAAAGAGGUACACUUAGUUGAAUACCACACAUUUAAAAACAGAGUAUUUAAAAAAUUUUUUAGGGCUGGGGAUGUGGCUCAAGCGGUAGCGCGCUUGCGUGGCAUGCGUGCGGCCCGGGUUCGAUCCUCAGCACCACAUACAAACAAAGAUGUUGUGUCCACCGAGAACUAAAAUAAAUGUUAAAAUUCUCUCUCUCUCUCUCUCUCUCUCUAAAAAAAAAAAAAUUUUUUAGUUCUAAAUAUUUUCUAAUUUCAAUUAGGAUUUCUUUGACCCAGGGAUUAUUUACAAAUAUUACUAAUUUCUAAGCAUAUGUAUUUUUUUUCAUGUCUUUUAAAAGUGAUUUCUAGUGUAAUUUCAUUUCCAUCAGAAAAAGGCUGGUGUUGUCUUGACAUGUUGACUUCACACUGGGGCUUUGUCAGGGUGCUGGUGGGGUCUUAGCUCACUCUUUGGUGCAGUCCCCUCUACCAUGGUUGGUCUGUGAAGGCUUCGGUGGGGCUGGCUGAAGAGGCCCAGUUACUUCCAGGCAGGACAGCGGGGAGACAGACAGCUGNGCAGGACAGUGUCCAGUCACAUGCCUCCUUCCACGGGGCUGGGGCAGCCCUCAGGGUCCUCGGCAGGGUGCAGGGCGAGCGCCUUUCUGAGCCCUCGGUCUGCAUGUGUUCUCAGGGCCCUGCGUGCGGUGCACGCUCGUGGUUCAGGUGCAGAAUUCAUCGAUCCUGGGCUUCAGAUCCGCACAUGCCCUUUCAGCCCGCCUCCCUCCCUCCGGGCCCGAGGCCUGUGCGUGUUGCUCUGUUUCCUUAGUGCUGGUUUCGAAGUGGCUUUGGGCCUUAUCGAGUGGGAUUCGUGUAGUUCUGGGACUUACUUCUCCUCUGCAUUUUGUUCCUGAGGCCAAAGGCACGGCCAGGUCUCCUUGGGCUCAUUCUCCCGGUGCUCUGCAUGCAGCUCUGCAGUGCACUGUGGCAUCUCUGCCAGCUCCAUGUCUGAGGGACGCCCAGGUUGCUUCCCUUUCCAUGCCAGCACAGACAGUGGCCAGAGUCUUCAGGGUGGAACGAGGGUGGCAGUCCUGCGGGGUCCCUGUGCGCCUGCUCUUCUCGUGCCGCCCACCCUCUUCCUCCGGCCCCACUCCAUGUCUUUGUCAGCACCAAAUGGUGUUGGACAGGGCUGUUGCCAGGCUGUUGCCAGUUCACACAUGUGGGUGUGAGGCGGUCUGUCUGGCCUCAGUCUGUUUUCCUAGCUCAGGUGGGUGACCUUUCAUGUUUACUGGGCCCUGAGGUCUUUCCUGUAGCUCAUUGCUCUUGUUUUUAUCUUGGAUUUGUCUUGUUUUUCUACAUUUCCUCUGUGUUGGGGACGGAAACCCUCAAUGACGUGCUGUGGACACCCCCGUGGGUCGUGCCUGCUGUGGGCAGGAAUUCCCACUCCUCUCGCCCGCACCACUCUCCUGUCAGUUGGUUUAAUGAUGUGCCUUUGUGUUCUCCAGGAAAGUGACCUCGUUGAUGGCGUGAGGUCGUGUGAGCAGGGAGAGGGACUCUAACGUUUUUUCCACGAUUUGAGCAGCAAAUGGUCCAGACCGUGUAUUCUGCCUUUUUCUGCAGACCUGCAGUACUGGCCAAGGAGAGCCAGUGUCCCUUGGGGCCUCUCGGUCAGUUUUCUAUUCUGGUGUUAAAUGCGUCUUGAUUUUUGCAGCUUUCUCGUAAUUCUCUGUUUUCCAGGGCAGGUUAGGUUGCCCUUCUCAUUGCAGUAUAGAAAUGCCUUAUGUAUUUUGGGCUUUCUGUUAUUGAACAUGAAGUUGAGAAUCAGUGUGUCACAUUCCUGGGUUUGGCUGGCUGGCUCUGGGUCCGCCUGCCCAGGCACGAGCCUUCACGGGGACCUCCUACCCUGAGCCCACGGCAUGUCGUCUUUGGAUGUGUGGUCUUCUUUCACGUCUUUUGAUAGAGCCUUGUCAUUUUCUCCAUGAAGAUUUACAUAUCUUAAAUUUGUUUCAACAGAAGAAGAACAACAAAAACAUGCUGCUAUUUGGCUGCUAUUUUCGGUGGUACUCUUCAGAGUAUGACACUUCUCCAAAUGUUUGUUGCUGGUGUACAUAUACAGUUGUUAUUUUAAAAAGCAGCGUCCAGAGAUUUUAUUUAAUUUAAAUGUUUUGCUCUUUUAACUUUUUAAACAUGGAUACUUUCAAACAUACAAAAGUAGACAUGGUGAUGUGUCUACCCCCAGGGCAGCCUUCUGUGUUCUCUGUUGCUACCCCCCCACUCCUGCCCGGCUGAGCUUGUCUGGUCACCUGGCCUGAACAUCUAGUUGUCUCCAGUGACAGGGUUCCAGCGCUGCAGCGUGUCUCAGCCUCGAUGCUGGGUCACUGAGUUCUCCCGUGGCUGUUCUUGUGACACUUCUGUGUACCUUCUGAGCCCAUGAUUGCCUGGGUGCCUCCAUCUCGAUUUCUUUUGCCUCGAGGUCUGUUUGCUGGAGGGAGCAGGCUUCUGUGGAGUGUGGCCGACCUCUGCCCACUGUUUUGCACGCAGCUUCUGCUAAACUCCUCUCCCUAAUGGCCGUGACUUGUCCGUGGCAUCUCCUCAGUUUCCUGUAAGAUGACGUCGUUGUCUCUUCCUGUCCCUGGCUUCAUCCUGUUUGUUUUCUUCCCUUCCUGAGUUAGCUGGAGCCUCUCUCCGAGGAUUGAUGGAAUUGGUGACUGUAGAUGGUGCCCUGACUUACGAAGGGUCCUGCCCCCAUGAGCCAUCAUGAGCGUGAAUAUGCUGGUGUUCCUCCCUGGCGUGCCCAGUCUCCCUGAGGUGCUCAGGACCCUGCAGUACCUACAGCUGGGAGCAGAUGGCCUCACACCAAGGCUGUCUUAAUGAAGUGUUGACUCCUGACGCACGGAGACUGGCGUCUGCAGACACCAGGUGCAGGACCUCAAGGCAUGGUGUCCAGAAGGCUGUGGCAGCACAGCAAUCUGUAAAGUUGUAGUAGCUUCCUUGGUGAUCGUGGGAUUGCCUGGAUCUGCCCAGAAUUGCAGGGGAGGGUCCCCUGUGUGUCACCAGCCCAGGAAAAGGUCACAGUCCAGACCUUGAUUUCUAGUAACUGCUUUCCCACUCACAGUGAAAAGUCCGGCCGAACCGUCCCGAGUCACGACCCUCAUGUAUUCCUGUGAAUUUGUGGGCACAUAGGACUGUGUAUUUCUGGGAUUUUGCUGGGAGACUGGUUUUGUUUGUAGGAGUUCUGACUUCCUGUUAAGUUCCCUUAUAGUAAAAAUCUGUUCAGGUUUUUGUUUCUCCUUGGGUCAUUUUUUUAAGUGGCAUUUUCUGGAAAAGCAUCUGCUUCAUCCAGAUGUUCCCGUGUAUUGAGGUGGAAGGAAUGUGCACAGAGCUUGUCCUGGCCAGGUGCCACGUGGGCAGCACCCUGGGUGGGCUGGAGCGCAGACUCCAAAUAGCCUGCUCUGGGCCCAGCACCAUCUGAAGGUAGCAGGCGAGUUGGCCCCUGCGCUGGGCCACCUGGGGUCCAGGUUGAGUGAGUUGCUUCCUGUGUAGCCAGGGCCUCAGGAGGCAUGCAGUGGCCAGUCGCCCUUGUUUGACUCAGGUUGUCAGUGUCCGAGUGAUGUCCCCUUCACUCCUGACAGUGUGUUCGCCUUCCCGUUUUCCUCUUUGAAAUAGGUGUACAGAUCUCUGUGAUGUGACUUCUUCAGAAAGACUUCAUCUUUCUGCUACUUGUUAGCUUCAAAUUUUAAUUAAUUUCUGCUUGUAUUUUCUUUAUUUUCCUCCCCUUUUCUCGAAUUGAUGCCAUUUUAUUUUUUCUGACUUGCAGAUUGGAUAUUCUUCUUGUUCAUAGGCAAUACUCAGCUUUUAUUCUUUCCUAAUAAAAGUAUUUAAAAUAAAUAAAUUUCCAAAGAGGUACACUUAGUUGAAUACCACACAUUUAAAAACAGAGUAUUUAAAAAAUUUUUUAGUUCUAAAUAUUUUCUAAUUUCAAUUAGGAUUUCUUUGACCCAGGGAUUAUUUACAAAUAUUACUAAUUUCUAAGCAUAUGUAUUUUUUUUCAUGUCUUUUAAAAGUGAUUUCUAGUGUAAUUUCAUUUCCAUCAGAAAAAGGCUGGUGUUGUCUUGACAUGUUGACUUUUCACACUGGGGCUUUGUCAGGGUGCUGGUGGGGUCUUAGCUCACUCUUUGGUGCAGUCCCCUCUACCGUGGUUGGUCUGUGAAGGCUUCGGUGGGGCUGGCUGGAGAGGCCCAGUCACUUCCAGGCAGGACAGCGGGGAGACAGACAGCUGUGGAGGGACAUGCCUGCAGGGUGAGGACAGCUACAUUUACCCAGUCUCUGCUGGGCACCGAGGUCCUGUUUCCCCAUCCGUAAUUAUGCAGCUUUAGGGCUUGUUCUCCAUUGAACUGUCUGGUCCCAGAGCAGCCAGCUUGGGGCGCCCGGAAUGUUCCCUCUCUCAGCCUCUUUUUGGAUUCCGUCUUAGGGAAAAGUCAGUGAGGCAGGCAGAGGUGCUCACCAUAGCAUGGUUUCACAGUGCCAACUCAGAAAGACUGUACGUACCAGUGCAGGGGUGCGGUCCACUAAGUGGCAGUCCAUAAUGCAGUCUGACACCUCACGAAAACCUUAGUGUAGUGGGGCACUGGCACAACCGAUGUGACCCAGCCACUUGGGAGUGAAGGCAAGAGGGUUGUGAGUUCAAAAUUAAAAGUAAAAAGAGGCUGGGGAUGUAGCUUAGUUGCAGAGGGUUCAAUUCUUAGUACCCCCCUCCCCCGCAAAAAAUUAAAAUAAACCACAGUGUUGAAGGACCUUGAGUGAUUUGCUAUGUGUUACAAUUAGUGACAAAUGUGGUAAAUAAAAGAAGCAAAGCCAUAUACAGUAUUUUAACAGGUUAACAUUUAUCUGGGGAUAUCUUUUUUUUUUUUUUUUUAAUUUAUAGUUGUAGAUGGACAGCAUGCCUUUAAUUGUUUUAGCUUUUUAUGCGGUUCUAAGGGUUGAACCCAGUGCCUCACACAUGCUAGGCAAGUGCUCUGUUACUGAGCUACAGUCCUAGCCCCAUCUGGGGAUAUCUUGGUUGCAAAUAAUUUAUUUUUAAAUUCAUAAUUGUCUGCAUUUUUAAAAAAGUAUUUAUCUUUAUUUAUUUUUGUGUGGUGCUGAGGAUUGAACCUAGUGUCUCACAUGUGCAAGGUGGGCACUGUACCACUGAGCUACAGCCCCAGCCCUAAUUGUCUGCAUGUAAUUUGUAUUAUUCUACUCUAAAACAAUAAAUGUCCCAGGCUUGUCCACCCCCAAGUUCAAGGUGUGUGUGAUUCAGGUGAUCACACUGGACCAGCCCUUGUAGGGGUGUUUGGGGGAUCCCUGUGAGAUAAUGGGCCCUGCAGCCUGGCUGGGGUGGCCGGGUGCCGGCGUGGUGAGAUGCGUGAUGGUGGGGGCGCAGGCAGGGCAGUGUGGGUCCCCACUGCUGAGCAAAUGGUGGUCCCAGUCACUGAGCGUCUGUACCUCCUCUGGGCAGUGACUGCUGGGUGGAGACUGUGUCUUCUGCAGGGAGAGCGUGGGAAGGGGGCCCUGCAGGUUCUCAGACACUAGGCGUAGGUCCGGGCAUCACCCCCGUCUGUGAUUGGCCAGGGCUGCGUCUGUGGCCUUUCUCCCCAGGUGUCCAGAGCAUUUGCUCUUACUCUGUCUCUGAAGAUCACCUGGUGCGGUUCUUUGUCCUGUGGGAGCCUCCACCCCUAGAGCAGCUAGAUUGCAUCCUUCCCUCUCUCCUCCCUGACUUAGCUGUUUCUCUGCUGUGGCUAAAGGAUCUGACCAGAACAACUGUAGAGGCUCACAGAGGUCUUAGUCCAUAGAAGGCUGGCUCCAUUCCUCAGGGCUUGAGGGGAGGCGGAACAGCAUGGUGGAAGAGUUGGCAGAAGGAAGCAGCUCACAUGUUGAUCAGGAAGCAGAGAGAGUUUCUAUCCCCCAGAUACAAAAUAUAUACCCCAAGGCCAAGUCCCACCUCCUCCACCCAUUCCCUACCACUCCAGUUACCACUCAGAUAAUCCUCAUUAAGGGAUUAAUUCACUGAUUGGGUCAAGACUCGCAAUCCAAUCAUUUCUCCUCUGAACCUUCUUGCAUUGUCUCACACAUAAGCUUUUGGGGUACACUUCACAUCCAAACCAUAAUACUGCCCUCCUGGCUGGUCUCCUCGUCCCAAGGCAGAACUGGAGUAUGUGUGGCCAUUUCUGGACAGUGAGCCAGGAGGCCUGGGUCCCCUCGCAGAGUCUGUAAGACCAGGGUAGCUUGGGGCAGUGCAGCCCUCAGGCAGGUGUACGGUGGAGGAGGCACAGGGAAGGUGGCCUCUGCAGAAGGGCCUGGGUGGACUUUCCUCCUGCCAGAGAGGCCUCUUCUUGGUGCUUCUAGGGAACUGGCCAGGGGGACAGGGCAGAGCUGUUGGUCUUGCAUGCUUCUCUUGAGGGGGCUUAGGUACCUUAAAAAAGUCUGCCCCGAAAGUCUUCCAGCAUUGGGGGCUGUGCCCCUGCCUGUGGGAAGCCCACCCUUGCUCCUACGGAGCUGAGUAUUUUCUUGGCAGCAGACCGGGCCCUUGCCUCCAGGAAGCCACAGCUUGGAGACAAAGCUCACGGGUAGGGAAAGACAGGGAGGCUCUGGUGCUGCUUGCUGGCCUGGCCGGGGCCCCGGUGGGCUGGGGCGGGAGGGCUGUGGCACACUGGGUGGCAGGGGAGCGUACUGCAAAUCAGGCUUUCUCUCCUGCUGCUGCCAUGCUCCAGCGUGGGCAUGGAGGCCAAGGCCAGUGCCCACUGGGCUCAUGAGGCUGUGCUUUGGCAGGCGGCCAGGUGUAGAUGGCACUCUGGCCUUUUGCUGGCAAGGGCUGUUCUCAGGCAGGGGUUGUCCUAGGGGUAGCCCCAGCGGGAUGGACAGGGCCCAGGGGUGGCUGUCCCUGCCUUUCUGCCAUGGUGGUGAAGAAGAAGGGAAGACAGGCAGGCCAGUGGAAGCUAGGGGGUCUUGAACCCAGGACUCUGGGUGCCCAGCAGGGAGGUAGUCAGGAGCAGGCAGCUGUGUCCUGAAGCAGCAACCACAGAGGAGGCGCCCUGGGAGCUCUGCCGAGCUGCCACCCCCGCCAGGUCCAGGGGCCUAAACACCCGCUUUGGUGCCUUUCCAGGACUAGGCGCUGCCUCCAAGGGCCGCCGGACCCUGGAGCCCGCCUCGCCCCCUGCCUCUGGCCCGAGGAAGGACCCUGCUCUGGGGCCCCCUGGCCGGAGGGCGGGACCGAGUGCCAGCCGGGCCAAGAAGAGGAAGCCCAACUUCUGCCUGCAGGAGACGGAGGUGCUGGUGUCCAAGGUCAGCAAGCACCACCAGCUGCUGUUUGGCACGGGGCUGAUGAAGGCCGAGGCCACCCGUAGGUACCGUGUGUGGAGCCGCAUCCUGCAGGCCGUGAAUGCCCUGGGCUACUGCCGCCGUGACGUCGUUGACCUGAAGCACAAGUGGCGGGACCUGCGUGCUGUUGUGCGGCGCAAGCUGGGCGACCUCCAGAAGGCCACCCCUGAUCCUGGCCUGGGCUCCGGCAAGCCACAGGCCUUGGCCCUCACACCUGUGGAGCAGGCAGUGGCCAAGACCUUCUCCUGCCCAGCCCUGCCUGCCGAGGGCAUUGGCCUCGAGCUGCCCAAAGGUGAGUUCCUGGGCCAGCUCGCCCUCCAGACCUGUGCGGUGGCCAGAGGGAGGGUGGCUGCACCUUGGCCGCAUUGCUACACCUUCCUCCACAGUGGUCUCCUCCCUGUCCAUGUCUUCCUCUGUCCCACUGUUGUCAUUCAGAAUGUCCUCGUUCAUUGUUCGUUGCCCCACUCCCUCGUUCACUUAUGCCUGUUCAUGAUGUUCAGACAUCUUUAAUGUGCCAAGGUGCUCAGAAGUGGGUGGUGACUGCCCACCUAGCUCUUGCCAGGGCCCGCCUUGCCCUGUCCUGGAGCCACGCGGAGCACAGGGACAAGUGAGCCUACUUCUCUUCUCCCAGUCAUUUAGGCAGUCUCUUCAAUGUGAUGGGAGUAAGAGAUGUUGGGAUCGUAACCACUGCUGAGUUACAGGAAUUUCAAAGCUGGAUAUUUUGCUGCUUUUUCCUGUCCUAUUCAUUUAAAAAAAAAAAAAUGCUCACUGUGACUUGCUAAGUUGGUUCAAUGACCUGGUUUCAGAGCUGUAAUGUGAGAUAAUGCUGCUGUGUGAUGGUAUUUAUUUUUUUAUCUAGUUAUUAUCAUGGAUUAUACCCAGGGGCACUUAACCACUGAACCACAUCCCCACCCCAUUUUGUUUUUUUAUUUAUAAGUUGCUUAGGGUCUUGCUAAGUUUCUGAGGCUGGCCUUGAACUUGAAAUCCUUCUGCUUAUUUAUUUUUAAGAGGGGGCCUGUUGCUGUGUUUGACAGGUUGGCUCUGAAUACCUGGGCUCAAGCCGAUUUCCAGUCUCAGCCUCCAAGUGGCUGGGAUGCAGGAGGGUGCCACCGUACCCUACGCUAUGUCCCUGCCCGUCAGAGACCUCAGUCCUGGUGGAUUCAGCCUCCUGCAUUAUGGUGGGCAGGUUGAGACCUGGGGGAAGGGUUUGCCUAGGGCCUUUCUUGGAGCACCCAGAGGGUGUAACUCUGGGGGCAAAUGACAGGUUGGGGAGGUCAAGAGAGGUCAGUUAGGCCUGAAGUCCAGGAGCUCUGAGUGGGGCCCAGAUAUGUGCAGGUGUGGGUGACUCCUAGGCCAUGGCAGCAGCUGCUGUACUAGGCCAGGAAGGAGUUGUGGGCCCUGCAGAGGAUCCCAGUUGUGGAGGGUCGAGGCCCUGUUCUGCAGGGCCUGCAGUGUGAUAUCGGGUUACAAUGUCUCCAGAGCUCAGGGCUGUGGCUGGAUGACCAUGACGGUCCCUAGUGUGUGUGCUCAGAUCUGCUCUGCCGCCCAGGGGCGUGUGCAGUGAAGACGAGGUGCCCCGUGCCGAUGCCUGUGGCAGAGCUGGCAGCCUGCACAGUGUCUGAACAGGUGCUCCAGGCCCCUGGCCUGAGGGUGGGCCUUGGAGAGCUUUGAAACCAGGUCCUUAAAACAGGUAGAGAACUUAAGACUUGUGAAGAUGGUGCCAUCUGACUAGCAGCUGGCAUGUGUACUGUCCCCUUCUCCGAUACCACCCUGUGCUGGACAGUCUUCUGGCUGCUGUUCCUUGUUUUCUGCAGGACGUGGUGUCCUGGAAGCUGUAGGACCUGCCCGUGUGCUGUCAGGUGGUGGGGGCCCUGGGAUCUCUGAGGGCAAGGUCUGGAAAGGUCCCUGGGUCCAGACUGUGGGGCCCUCACUUGCUUCCUGCAGAGGUGAGGUUGAGGGGCUGCCUGAGGCCACACAGCCAGGGUCUUGCUAAGUUGAGCUGGUGCUGGGCCUUUGGCAGGCACCACAGUCUCUUAUUUUAUUAUUUUAUUUCUUAAAUGAAAUAAUAGUCACACAUCAGAAUUCACCAUUUCACCCUUCUUACGGUGUGUAGUUCAGUGGUUUUCAGCAUAUUCUUGCCGUCAUGCGUCUGUCACCUCCAUGUAACUCUAGAGCAGAUCUUGUCACUUGCAGGCAGCCCGUGCUCUCUAGCAUCCGCUUCCUGCCCCUGGCCUUGCAUGAUCUGGCUCUUCUGUGGUGGCACCUCCCAUGCACCUUCAUGUUGCUGGUGACUCUUCCAGCCUCAACCUUCUCUUCUGGAGAGUGGGAUUGAGUGCUCCGCAGUCGGUGCUGUUGGCGUUUUGGGACAGUCUUCACAGGGCGGUGCUUCUACUUAGACGGGGAUUGACACCUAGGAGUUGAAUUGCGGCUUUGACCACCAGCACACUGUUUUUCCCAGUGCUUGUACCUGAGCAGUGGGAGCGAGCGCACUUGCUCUCCACCCUUGCCAGAGCUGGCGUCGUGGGACUUCGGGGGUCCAGGCACCGUGGGUGGUGAGGACUGGUGUCUGGUUGGUUGAGGUUGGGUUUGCCUUUCCCUGGUGUGGAGCGUCCUGCUGUGUGUACUGGCUAUUUGUAGUGUCUAUUUGAACCCAUCGCAGUGUGAUAUCGGGUUACAGUGUCACUGAGCUCAUUAUUCUGAACAUUAUGUUAUCUUGUCACGUGUCUGAAUUUGAAUAUUUUCUUCAGACUGUGGCUUGUCUUUGUUUUUGCAGGUGAAAAGUCUCACUGUUUGAGCAGUUUCUCCCUCUGUGCCUUUGUUUGUGUCCUGCCUCAUAAGUCUUUGCCCACUCCCAGGCUGUGAGAAGUCCCUGCUGCUCUAAGUGUAGAAGUUCUGGGCCUCAGGCUUCUGCACUUGAACCUGUGACGCACACUGAGUCAGCGUUGUGCGUGAUGGGUUUGGGUCAGUUGGGUUUUAGGUGCUGGGCUGCUUUGCUGUCUCUGUCUCAGGCAGAUGGCCGUUCACUUGGCUGCCCACUUGCUUCCGUCUAUCUGAAUGUCUGUUGGAGUAAGUUGUAGGUUAAUCCCGUGAGACUGCCAGAGACCCCAAGUCUCCUCUCUGCUGGUCUGCAGUGGCGCUCCCCUCCUCUCCUGGGGGCUGGCUGCUCUGCAUUGGCUCUUUUGUCCUUGGUUAGUCUGGUUUAAGUUUGUGGUCUUAGAAUUAGUCUGAUGUAAAUGUACUGAUUUUAUUCAUCAUUUGAGAGAACCUGAUUAUAUUGAUUUUCUCUAAUGUCUAUUGAAUUAUGUUUGAUCAUCUUUGUUUUUUGUUCCUUUUGUUUAUUUAGGUUCAUUUUGCUUUUGUUAGAUAAUCGACUUAGGCCCAUUCUUAUUUUCUAAUAUGUUUGUUGCUAUAAACUUUCUUUUUUGCAUUGCUUUACUUAUAUAAAUAUGUCACACUUUCAUUUCAUUCAUUUAAAAUAUUUUCUGGUUUCCCCUGUGAUUUAUUCUACGUGGCGUUCAUUUAGAUGUGUGCUGUUUAAUGUGAAGUAAUGAUGUAUGCUGGCAGAUUUCUUUUUGCUGCUGAUCUCUAGUUAAUUCUGUUGUGUUCAGAGAAUGUAUUUUUCAUGAUGUCCACUCUCACAGAUAUGUCUGUGGCCUUGCUGUCUGUGUGUCCACCUCGGCGCGUCCUCCAGGUGCGCUGACUUGUGCAACAGGGCACCCCCCAUGUGCGCUCAGGUUGCACUCAGAGGCGUGUUCUCCUCACCUGAGUCCUUGCCCAUUUUUUGUCCACAACUGUUGACUGGGGGUGCAGGGUUGGGGGUCGACUCGGGACUCCGCUGUGGGUUGAGGUUCCUUCUUGCAGUUGUCAGUUUGUGCACCUGUGUUUCUGGGGCUGGGGGAUGCGGGUUCCCGUGUGUUUGGGUCUGUUUUGUCUCUUCUCCAGGUUGCAGGUGUCCUGCCUUUGGCUCUACCUGGGAGGAGUGCAGCUGCUCUGGCUCCAUGCGAGAGCUUUCGAAGACGUGAUCUUGCGUAUCAACAGCAGGGCUUUGGAGUAGUUGUACAGUGGAGUCUUCCCUUCCUCUGAUUGGACAGUCUCUGUUUUCUGAUUGCAGUGGUUGAGAUGUGCUGUCCGCCAGAGCCUCUGGAGAUAGCGGGAGUGUUGUGCUGUGUGCACACGUGGCUGUGGCGGCCGAGGAACUGGAUUUAUAAUGGUAUUCAAUCGCAGUAUAGUUCAUGCCAGCUCUCUGCCCCGGCUGGCGGCUCGGGCCUGGCCGGGCACGUUGGCUCCUUUAUCUUUAGUGUGAUGCUGUGUGUUUCUGUUUGAAUCUGCCGCCUUGGUGUUUGCCCCCUGCAUUGCCCUUCUGUCUCUCUCCCCUGCCCCUGUCCUGGAGUAGUGAGUGCUGCUCAGGGUUGGUGUCACUUCUCUGACCCACUGCAGCUUCCCCUGCCUCCCUGUGCUCUGCAGUCUGGAGUGGCUUCAGUCUGGGGGGUCUGGGCUGGCCCCCUUUUCUCCAUCAGCCCUAAACUGUCCUCUGCCCCGAAUGAGAGCGGCUUAGGUGGGAAUUGUGUGGCUCCUUUGUCACAUCAGAGAGUGGCCACCUAUGGCUGUGUGACCUGGGAGGGCAAGGGGCAGAGAGGAGGACUGCCCUUCCACACUUUGUGUGCUGAGGAGGUCACUCCACAGCACAUCCUCUCUUAGUGAAUGCUGACAUGCGUGUGUUGGGUGAAGGGCAUCUGUGCUGUUGAGGCAGAGACCCACAGGAGAUGGGGCACGUGUCGCUCCUGUACCGCAGUCCAGCCAGGCCAGGUGGGCAGUGUGCGCCCUCUCCCCAAGGGUGCUGUCCUUCAUCUGCGUGGUCACAGCAGAGUUGCACCCCACGGCAUCCCAGCCAGGACAGGAGGACUGAGUGAGAGGCAGCCGUCGGGUGGCUGUUUCUUUUAAGCGUGUGAGAGGGAGCUCGCACACUUCACUUCUCAAAUUCUGGGGUGGUGGGUCAUGGGGAGCGAGAGUCAACCUCUUUGAUUGCAAGGGAGGCUGGGAAAUGCCCACAGCUAUGUGGCUACAUGCCCAGGAUUUCAGAGCGAUGGCCCACAGUGCCCUAGCUUGCAUGGCCAGGCGGUCUCUGCCAGUGUUCCCUGUGGUGUUGCUCUUGUCUGCUGAGAUGGGGACUCUGCACAGGUGUCCUCCCCAGAUUUUGGUGGAGGGCAAAGAGCCAAUCCUGGGAUGGACGCUGUAGCUGUCUUUGCUCUGUGUCUGGGCCUUCGGGCCUCCAUCUUCAUCAUCAACACACAUCUCUCCCCUCCUGUGAUGACUGCACCCCGGGGUGCCAGCUGGCAACCCUGCCUUGGCUCUGCAGUCCGGCCCUCCUGUUUUCCCUGUGAUCUCAUUCUCCGGGUCCCCCAGCAGGGUCAGAAGUAACCCAGUGCUUCUGCUGUGUGCCCAGAUGCCUGUGCUCCCCCUGGGGGCAGGGCCUCCUGGGCUGCCCACACCUGUGUUCUGCAUCAGGCCUUGGCAGCUUGGACCCUGGACCAGAGCUGGGUUGCACACCUCUCCCAUGCCAGCCAGGACACACUGGACGGGUCCACGACCUCCAGCUUGCUGGGCCACCAGGGCUCUGCAGUGACCGGGCGGCUGCACAGAACUUAGAGAGCCCCAAGAGCCGUGUGCUCCUGGGUGUAGCCAGGCUGGCCCCUGGGCUCUCAGCUCAGCUUUCUGGAUGCAGGCCACCCCCCAUCCCCCAGCCCUGGGCUCAGUGUCCUUCCACCACAUGGACACCUCUGAUAACGAGGCAGAUGGUGUCUGCCCUCGGUGCCAAGCUCUGCCCUAUGAAGGCCGGCCUCUGGCCCUUGUGGGGAGUGCUGAUCCAGCCCUGUGGCUAUGGAGCCUUGUUGCUGUCUCCCUGGUUGCCUAGAGGCAGCAUCUGCAGCCCGCCCAGCCACUGCAUGCAGGGCUGUGUGCCUGGAAGAUGUGUUCCUGUGGGAGCGGCAGUGCCAGCACCAGGUACUGUGUCGGCCAGGGCCGAGCUAGUGAGCCACAACACUUGCUGGAAGAGGCUGUCCCAGCCAUGGCCUUCAGAAAAAGAAAAGGGUGGGGAUGGAUGCUGCCCUGUAGCCUGGGGAGGGUCUGUCCCCUCCGGCAUAAACUGCCAUGUCACCUAAACUUGGGUCUUGUGGAGAGCAAGGGUGCUUGGAGCCAAAGAGCUCCUUGGUUUCUUUUUGCAGACAAUAAAAAAUGGGAGUGGCUGUUGUCUGCGCUUUCGCUCCAUGUCUUUGUGUAGGAAAACUGUCAUGAUCCCCCGUCCACAGCUGAGAACUUGAGGCUGUGAGAGCCCCCGUGACAGGUCCCAGAACCCAAGCCUGUGGAUGGCAGGCUGGGUUUGGGAGGAGAUCUCAGGCUUGGAGGGGCCUCCCCAAGGGGGUGUGUGUGGCAGUGGCGUGUGGUGGAGUCCUGCCUCCUAGAGCACUGCCAUGGGCUGUGGGGCUGCCCCUGCACGCCUCACCACACCACACUCACAGCCACUGAGGGCUUGUCUUGGAGGCCAGGAGGCAGCUUCUACUGCCCCAGUGAUCUUGCUACAGUUCUGCCCCAAGUGCCCUGCCUUGGCAGAUGGGGACCGUGAGUGUUUCCUCUCCAUGUUUCCUUACUGGUCAGCGGUCACUCCUCCUACUGCACUCUUCAGCUGCCCUCUGUUCUGCCUCGGCUGCCACCUGCACAUGUUGGUGCCAUGUCGGCCACAGGGGUGGCCAGGACUGACCAAGCUGGGUGGGAGGGAGCUGGAGCCGCAGUGAGCCAAUACAGAGGAGUGAGGCUUCCUUGAGGCAGCAGAGGCAGGCAGUCAUGAGCGGAAGGGGGCAGGCGUCUCUGGAUGAGGGGGCUCAGGAGGACUUGUGAGGGUAAGGGCACAAGGAACUGUCCUCAACCGGGAGGUGCUAGUGAGAACUGGCCCAUCUGGAAGGCAGGUCUUGUCAGGCUUCUCAGGCUCCCUGUCCUCCAUAGUAAGUCCUCAUCUCCUGGAGGCUGACCACAGCACAGGGCCUGGAGCUGACUUUGACCACCAGGAGAAGGCACGGUCAGCCUUGACCAGAAGGGCUGUGUGGACUUUGGCCUGGGCCAAAGUGAAGGUGGGCUUUGAGGAGACCCAGGCAGAGUGGCACAGCCCAGGGAUACAUCGGAAGGAAAUGUCAGGGCUACCAGGUAAUCUCCCUGGCUUUGUGGUGUGGAAGGGUUGCUACCUCUCCCACCCUGCUGGGGAGGAAACUGGGCUGGGGCACUGGACCCCUGCUAGGACUGCCACCUGGGACUACUGGCUCAGCUGGGGAACAGCCCCCCUCGCCCUUCGGUCCUGCUGUGGCUCUUCCUGUGUCUGACUCUACUUCUGAUGCAGGUUGGACCUGGUGGCCAGCAUGGCCACUCUAGUCGUAAGAGACAUUUAUCCAUCGCCUGCAAAGACCUGUCCAGGCCUGCAGGUGUGCAGCAUGAGUGCUGUGGGUGUACGGCACUGGGUCUGCUGGCAGACAGGGUGGGAGGCGGCCUGGAGGGCUCCCAGAUCAGGGAUAGUGGGGUGGCCAUGGUGAAUCGUGCGUCCCUGCUCUGAUCCCUGGUGUUUUAGUCAGUUUUUUUUUUUCUGCUGUGACUAACAGAUCUGAUCUGAACAAUUAUAGAGGAGGAAAUGAUUCCAUGAUCUCAGAGGUCACAGUCCAUGGACAGCUGGCUCCAUUCCUUGGGGCUUGAGGUGAGGCAGAACAUCACAGUGCAAGAAUAUGGCAGAGGGAAGCAGCUCACAUGAUUAUCAGGAAGCAAAGAGAGAUUCCACUCACCAGAUAACAAAAUAUAUACCAAAAGCCAUGCCCCAAUGCCCACCUCCUCCAGCCAUACCCUGGCUGCCUUCAGUCACCCUCAAUUCAUCCCCUCCAGGGGAUUAAGUCACUGAUUGGUUUAAGGCUCUCAUAACCCAAUUAUUUGUCCUCUAAACCUUCUUGCAUUUUCUCAAGGGUACCCCACUGGUCACUUCUCAAGAGAAUUUUUGGUUUUACCUCCUUGAAUCUGAGAAGUGUAUGGUCUUGUCAGCUCCUGAGAUGCCCUGAGGCCAUCUUUCUCCUUGUCUCUGGGCAAAGUCUUUCGCAUUUCUUUAGUGGUAGUAAUGUUUUUAAAAACUGCAACUUACUUAGUCCCAGUUUUACCCUCACCUUCAAGUUUUUUUCAAGUGUCCUAAUUAUCACAAUAAUUUGGCUAAAAGCCUCCAACAAUAUCUUAUGCUGAAUGCUAUGUGUUCUCUAGAAAUUUCCUCUGCCGGAUUAAAAAGUCCACUGUUUUUAAAAUCAGUCUCACAGAAUGUCUCAAGACACAGGCAAUAUGCAGACAACUUCCCAGCCAGAACGUGACAUAAGUAGUGUCCUUCUUUUCCUCGAAACCUCUUUGAGUCCUAUCUUCAUUAUCCAUGGUACUCCUGCUGUUCUGGUCUUCUGAGCUCCCCCCACAAUUGGCCAUUAAGUUCCACUUACCACUUCUAAACCAUUUCCAGCUUGUACUGCUAAGCAUCUCAAAAUUCCUCCCACCAAUUCCAGAAAGCUCCAAAAGUUUCUGAACCAUACAGUCAGGUUAGUCACAGCAUCAAUUUCUGUUCUACUCAGCUUUUUCACUGCUGUGAUUAACAGAUCUGACCAGAACUAUUAUAGAAGAGGGAAGGUUUAUUUGGGGGGCUCAUUCAGAGGUCUCAGUCCAUGGAUAGCGGGCUUUAUUCCUUGGGCUUGAGGUGAGGCAGAACAUCAUGGUGGAGGAAUAUGACAGAGGGAAGCAGCUCACAUGAUGAUCAGGAAGCAAAGAGAGAAGUCUUCACUUGCCAGGUACCAAAUAUAUACCCCAACGCCACACCCCAAUGUCCACCUCCUCUAGCCACGUCCCACCUGCUUUCAGUUACCAAUCAAUUAAUCCCCACCAGGGGAUUAAUUUACUGAUCCGUUAAGGCUCUCAUAACCUAAUUAUGUAUCCUCUAAACUUUCUUGCGUUUUCUCACACAUGAACUUUUGAGGGACGUCUCACAUCCGAACCAUAACACCAGAGGUUCCUUAGCAGUGAACAGUGCCCGGCAGUGUUGCCUCAUGAGUUGGCUGAGGGGUGGCAGUGAGGAGGAUGCCUGAUCGCUGGGGUCCUGCCUCCUCCCAGGACGGGUGCUCUUUGUACAGCAGCUCUGGCCACCCCUCCUCCUCCAGCCCUGAAUUGAAUCCUGCAGAAUGGACAGCCACCUUGGGCCUUGGAGCCUGCCCACGUGACUAUGGUAGUUCAUGCACAAUACUUUGGCUGAAAGCCUCCAACAGGUAAUUUGGAAGGGGCAAGGGCAGCCCCCAGGACUGGAUGGUUGACAUUUUCCUUCCCGAGGUCAGACCCCCUUUCUGGUGGUGUGACCUUGGGUGGGUGGUGUGGCCUUGGGUGGGUCUCCUGCUUCUGCCCUGGGUCUCUUUAUCUGUAAGUGGGGAGAGUGGCACUCUGGUUGUUGGGCUCCUUCUGUGUGCUUCUGCUGGAGAGUGGUGGUCCCUCCUCCACCAUGGGCACAGCUCAUCCUGUCCUGUCCCUUUCUUUGCUGCCCUGGCUGUGUCCAUCGUGAGCCUGGGCUUGGUGAAGGCAUCGCGGGGCUCCAGCGCCUUGCAGGUGCAGCAGUGGUGUGUGCAGGGUUGUCAGACGCUGUUUCUCAGGCCAGCGACAUGAGUGGAGCAGCCUCGCUGUGCUUCCAGGCUGUGCUGAGUACAGCAGCUGGACCUGGGGGCUUGGCAGGGGAGGGACGUGGCAGGCCUGUGAGCCUAGGAGCUGGUGCCUCAGCAGGGUGUGCUCAUUCUAGAGAGGCAGGGCCGACCCUGCCGUGGUCCAGCCAGCCCUGUGACUCUGUGGAGUGGGCUUGGGCCUGUGGCCUAGGGAGAAACCUCGUCAAGCCCAGGAGGGGGUACUUUGUUCUAGGCUCGUAGGCUGGCUCAGAGAGCGCAGACCUUUGGGUGUUCCCUGUGCUAACCAGCUGCUCAUUGCUGUAACCAAGAACAGCUAUCAAGGACAACUUAGAGGAGGAAAAGUUUACUUUGGCUCUGGGUUUCCGAAGUCAGCCAACUGCAUUGCUCUGGCCUGAGGUGAGGCAGGACAUUAUGGCAGAAGGGAGUGUCAAAGGGAAGCUGCUCAGCUCUUGGUGGCUGGGAAGCAGAAACAGAAGAGGAGCCAGGAGGAUAAGAUAUAUCCCUCUAGGGCACAUCCUCUUCCAGGCACACCCCACCUGCCUGUGGUCAACGCCCAGUAAUCCAUUCACAUUAUUAGUCCACUAAGUUACAGCGCUAAUUUAAUCUCACCAUUUUACUUCCUGAAUUAAUACAGGAGCUUGGGGGGGGGGGACAUCUCACAUGCAAACCAUAGCAUUCCACCCUGGCCCCCCAAAGCUCAUGUCCAUCUCACAGUGCAAAGUACACUUAGUCCAUCUCCAAGAGUCCCCAUAGUUUAUAUUUCCAGCAAAAGUCCAAGGUCUCCUCUGAGACUCAAGGUAAACUCUUGCUUGUGAGCCAGUGUAAAAAUCAAAAGCAAAUUAUAUAUAUCCAAUAUACAUUGGCCUAGGAUAAAUAUUCCAGUUCCAAAAGGAAGGCUCAGAGGCCUACAAAGAAGGCUGGGACCAAAAGAAGAUCGAAACCCAGUUAGGCAAAAAAGUGCUGUAGCUUCCUGUCUGACUUCUGGAGCACCCAGUGGUGAGAUCUCCUCUCCGCAGGGUUAGGCAGCCGCCUCCGUGGCCUUUCUUACCCACGUGGCUUCUCUAGGCCUGUUCUGACCACAGCCAGAGCCUUCCUUGGCAGGUGUUGCAUGUUAUUGGAUCUCCUGGGGGUAUCCUGGGGGUCUCCUGGGGGUAUCCUGGGGGUCUCCUGGGGCGUCUCCUGGGGGGGUCUCCUGGGGAUCUCCUGGGGGUCUCCACUACAGUUUGUGCUUCAUUGUCCUGGCUUUGCACAUGGUCCUCUCAGGGCCAGCGGCAGGGAUUCUGACCCUGCUGCCCUUGUCCUCUCAGGCUUUCCUUUGAAGUCCAGGGGAAGCCUCUGGGCCUCCACCUCCAGCAUUGUGCAUUGCUGCAGAACCAGCUCCACAUGGAUGAUGCCAAAGUCUGCUGCCAGGUUAAGCAGUAGCUGGGUUCCCUUGGACCAUGGCUACAGUGUCCUGGGAGUGCCUGGGCAGCCAAACCCCGUGAAAUGAAUCCUGGGGAAACAGCUUUCUAGGUCCCCUGUGAAAGCAGGGUGCCUUUGUGAUCUCUUUCACUUCUGCACCCUUGAACCUGCCAUGGGCGUGGUGUUCUAGUUCCUGAGAUGGCCUCACAGCAUUGUCCUAUUGUCUCUAGGCAAAGUACUUAGUUUCUCUUUAGUGGCAGUCAUCUCUUCAACACCCACAUCUUCCUGAGCCCUAAUAUUACGUGUUCCUUUGGCCAAACUGCAAGUUUUUCAGAUCUUUUCUUUCUGCCUUGUGUUCUUGAUUCUUCUAGUAAACCUGGCUAAAAGCUGCUGGCAACAUCCGAGCCACUGCCUCAAAGCUGUGGUUUUAAUUUUAAUGCUGCCUAAGUUUCCUUCCACCAGAUUAGUGAGUCCACCAACUGUAAGUUCAGCCUUACACAAACUCUCAGGACAGAAUGGAGACAACUUUUUUUGCCAGAAUGUAACAUGAACAUCUCUAGUCCAGUUCCCAAUGGAAUCCUCAUUCCCCUCUGCAACUCCAUGAGCGUAGUUCUUACUGUCUGCGUUCCUAUUGGGGUUCUGGUCCUCUGGGCUCCCACCAGAAGCACUUUAAGCUCUGCUCACAACAUUCAGAGCUUUCUCCAGCCUGCAUCUCUAAUCUUUUCCAAACUCCUCCUAUGAACAAGUUCCAAAGGCUUCUGAACCAUAUGGUCAUGUUAGUCACUGCAGUGACCCUACUCCUGGUACCAGUUUCUGUGUUAGUCAGCUUUCCAUUGCUGUGAACAGAAUACAAGGACAGUUUAGAGGAGGAGAAGUUUAUUUGGCUUACAGUUUCAGAGGUUCCCAUGGCUAGCCAAGUCCAUCGCUCGGAUCCCCAGGUGAGGUGGGGAGCAUCAUGGUGAAGUGCACUGUGGAGGGAAAUUGCUCACAUCAUGGUCGCUGAAGGAAGGAGUAGUCAGAGGACAAGAUAUGAUCCCCAAGGAUACACCCCCUGGUGGCCUACUUUUCCCAGCCAUGCCCCAUUAUUAAUCCAUCAAGUGAAUUAAUCCGCUGAUGGGGUUAUCGCUCUUAUGAUUCAUUAUUUCCCCUGCUAUGUCAACACAGGAGCUUGAGUGGAUACCUCAUAGUUGAACCACAGCAACCCAUUGGCAUCCUGGUGUCUCCUGCCCCACAUGCCCUGGCAGACCUCGCUCCGUGUCCUUCAGUCUUAAGUGUUUUAUCUUGGAGACUUGUGAGCGCAGAGAAGGUGGAAAGGGUUGCAGUGUGACCAUGGGUGCACCACUGCCUAGAUCCCACCUGCUGCCAUCCCAGCUGGCCCUCCUCGUGCCUCUGAGCCCUUUGGAGCAGCUGAAGCCCUCGGGUCUCCUUUCACUUCCUGGUUACUGCCUCUCCUUUCCUUUUGAGGUGAACUUUAAGUGCGUGAACUGCAGGCAACCAAAUGGUACUAUUCUGGGCCUUUUGGCAGAUGCCUGCACUGUGUUGCCCACAGCCCUGUCCAGGCACGGGGCCUCCCCUAUUCAGCAAGUCCCUGGUGCCCUGCCCCAGCCCAGCCCAGCGUAGCCCCAGCCACCAUAGACUGCUUUUCUCUGUUGGAGAUCUGACCGUGCACUCUGACGCCUGGCACAGUGUCACGCCCAGGGCGCCCCCGCAGGCAGGGCACACGUGCCUGCCAGUCUCCUGCAUCCCCUGCACUUGCACCUUCCAGGGUGGGCUCUUAGGAAUAGCUGCCACGGACUCUCUUACCCAGGGUUCCUGCGGCCUCGGCUUUGUUUCUCUGUGUAGGUGUCCAGAGUGUGAUGGCUGGCCGCAGGGCAGCAGGUGUCCUGGUGUCUGUGGCCGAGACCUUCGUUGCAUGGCUGCACAUUGCACAGUCACCCAGCAGUGCGCAUCUGGACACUGUCUUCCCCAGCACUUGGAGUUUCCCCACGUCGAUUUCUGUGGUUUUGUUACAUUGAGAUAAAAGUGCUUAGCACAAAGCCUAUGAUGGACUCUUAAAGUAUGCUAGUCACGGACCCUUGGUGCGGUCACAGGGUUGUGUGGCCAUCUCCACCUUCCCACUGCAGAGCGUGUCCAUCCACCGGGGCAGCUGGGCCUGUGCUAGCGUCACCGCCCCCUCCCAGACUGCUGGCAGCCGCCGUCUCCAUCUCUGUGGGCUGCCACCUCUGCAUGUGUGGUGUGAAUGGGAUCACACAUUUGGUGGCAUCUGUCCCCAGCCUGGUGUUUGGAGGACUCGUUCCUCUUACUGCUGAGCAGUGGAGCAGUACUCUGCAGUGUAGCUAGGCCCCGUCUUUGUCCUUGCUGGUGGCCUGACGGCAUGCGGGAAGUCUCCUCCUUCCCACCUAGCAGCGCUGCUCUGAGCCUUCUUGUGUGAGUCUUGUGUGAAUGGGAGUCCUUAUGUGCGUGCCCAGGAGGCUACUGCUGGGGUGCGGAGCCUCCACGUCCCCUCUCCUUGAGGAGCCGCCUCUCCCCCCAGCUUGGGUCCUGGGAGGGCAGGGGUGGUAUUUGUCCUGACCCUUUGCCUGUGGAAGCAGAGCUGGAAGGCAGGAGGGGUGGCGUGCAGGGCAGCUGGGCCUCUGGCUCCCUCCUCUGGGAACCACCUGGAGAGGCUGGAGGGGCCGGUCAUACAGGCAGCAUGGUCAUCUUGUGCCUCCUCUUCUCCUGUCUUCCUCUAGCCACACAGGUUGUUCCUCGUGACCUCCAGGAGCUGAGCCAGGAGACCUCAGCCAGUGUCUUCCAAAUCCACUCCAAUGGUAUGCCAUCUGCCUGCCCCCUCUCUCCUGGCUGCUCUGGGUCACUGAGGUGACAUCGGAGGCUAGCUGGUACCUGACCUUGCCCUGCCCCUACUGUCCUGCCUUCCACAGUCCCAGGUUCUUGGGGGCAGCUGGGGGCUGCUUGCAUGUCCAGUCAGCUCUUCUCCUCCUCGAUCCUGUCCCACCCUGGCUCUCCUCACUGGCUCUGUGGCUGUAGGGAUCCCUGGGAGGAAGGAGUGAACCCCGAUGGCAGGGCUGGUGGAACAGAGAUCACUGAGGCUAGGAUGGGGAGCAAGAGCCACACCCCAGACAUCCCUGGGAGAGGGACAGGCCUUCCCCAGGCCCAGGUGGGCUUGCUCUGGGUGGACUGUACCUGGGCCUGGGCCUGCUCCGGCACAAUAGGGGAGAAGGUCCUGUGGGGGUUGGGUAGGCCUCUGCUAGGAGGGGUGGACCCAGCCUGUAGGAGGCUGCUGUGCCCUGGUGUCAGGUCACAUAGUGGUCUGGCUGUCUCUGAUGCAGGGCCCAGUUUCCACUAUGGCCACGCAGAGGGCAAUGGGUUGGGGAGGGUCCUUCUAAUCCUUGUGCUUUUCCCAUCUUUUGUUGGACAGUGACCUCCUUGGAGAGGAGCCUCCGGUCCUUGGGGACACCGAGUGACACACAGGAGCUUCGGGAUAGCCUGUGAGUGGCAACUGCCAUCCCUGCGCCUGUGCAUGGUGCCGCACACAUGCAGCUUCACCCUAAACUGCCUCUCCUGAGACGUGAGCACCCUCCCCCGGUGGGCGUCUAGGUGGAGUGGACGCUGCUGAGACACACACCUGUGCUCAGGUGGUGUGCGUGCCAGCUCGCACACGCUCCGUGUCACCAGCAUGCUCCAGGGGGUCUUUGCAGUGCCCCAGGCUCACUGACAGGCCUGCACAUAUGUGCACACCUGUGGACACACAGGCUGGGCUGGAGUGGGGACCCCUGGUUUUGAUUCUGCACCUGUGGGAGUCCCACUGGGCUUCCAUAGAGAGUCACUGUCAGCCUCCCCUGGGCAGGACUGGGCUGGGAUGAGGUCUGAGCCCCAGAAGAGAGGCACGGGUGGUGCUGUCUGCUAAGCCAGGACCUGGUGGGCUGGGAGGAGAAGGGCAGGCUCCUUCCACCUGGGCUGCUGGGCAGGUUUGUGGGCUUGCAGGGCUCUGGGGACCUGCAGGCUGGAGCCCUGCUCUCCAGGCAGCAUGAGCAGUGCCAUCCCAGCUAGUCUGGACCUGUCCUGGUUCUGGCCUGCAGGGAUGCGGAGUGCUUCAUCCCCGGUCAGCAGAGCUGCUCUCUGGACCUACCACAAUGAGGGCCUGCUGUGUCUCCUGCACAGAGCUGUGGGUGAGGGCGUGGGACAUCCCCGUCCUCACUCCAGGGAGUGGCCGUGCGUGCAGGUGCCCUGUGUUCCUGGCACCAGCGGACCUUGGCAGACAUCGCCUGCUAUCCGUUUUUGAUCUUGGUAAAAAUGAAGUCCUUGUUUCUGGUUGUGAGAGAGGCUUUGGAUGCCCAUUCCAGGAAGCGUGGACCUUCAGAGUAUCUGAGGAGCCACUGUGACACGUGGUGCCUCUGGCGCCUUUCCUCAUAUCCUCAGGCCAACACCAGAGUUGGGUUUAAGUAGCGAGUGUUCUGGAAGCAGCGUUUUGCACUUGGGGUGAGUGGUGUGCCUGCAUCUCAUCAGGGACUUUGAAGAUGUGCUCGUGGUGGGGGCUGUGGAUGCUGUUGGAUGCGUGUGACUCGUAAUGUGGCCGGUUACUAGGAACAAUUCCCAGUGACAUCAUUGUGUUUAACCCUGUGUCACUGCCUGUCUCCUGAGUAUCCCUGGGACCAGAAGGUGGGAGUGUCCAGGUGGCCUUCACUUACGUAUCUUGGGCUACCUGCCUGGUUAGUGAAGACAUUAUCCCCAAACGUGGGCCUUGGAGAGGAGAGGGCUGUCCACGGAGUGGGCAGGUGGCCUGACGCAGGGCCUGGCCCGCAGUGACCUCAGCUCCAGCAGCAGCACCCACCUUGGCUCUGGGGCCAGAAGCGUACCUUGGUGUCUCUGCUCCUCUGCCACAGACCUGUCCACCUGCCUUCCAGAGCCCCCAUGACCUGACUGCUCUGUGCCUGUCGUGGGCACAGCACUGGCUGUGGGCUGCCUUCCUCCCUGUCUGCUGACCUUGCCCUGACCCCCUGCCCAUCCUGGUUGGUGGACCUUGGGUGAUUCUGCUCAUAAAGUCCACCAGGGGGCUUCCUGGUUCACAGAAGGGUGGAGGGGACUUGUGGGCCAGCACCCUCCUGGUGUGUGGCAGAGGGUCCUGCUUCCAGGCUUUCCAGCUCCUUUCUGUGGGCCAGCUUCCCCGAUUUCCACACGAGUUCACAGUGGUGUCUUCCACUCACCCCUGUUCUGUCGUGUGCAGUCAGGGUAGCCGAGGUGGGGGUGACCUCCAGGGGCCUCUAGUCCGUGGCUCAGUGGGCAGUGAUAGGGUCCUGGCAGGCUGGGCUCCCAGCUCUGUGUGAGCAGCACUGUCCCACCAGGGUGUGCAUGUCCGAUGGGCAUCAGAAGGGAUCCACAUACCCCAGUGCCAGGGCCUGUGCACGGCGACUCUCGGAGGGGCUCAGUCUUAACAGCCCCAUACGUGGCAGCCCAAGCUCAGACAGGCAGGACACAGAGCUGCGUGGGUGUCUUGUCCCUGGCCCCCUGUGACUGAGCACUCCUGCACACGCACCUGCAGGACUCGGGACUUGCUCGAGAGCCAGGAGGGGAGGCUCACUCCGGCUCAGGCUGCCCUGUGCCCCGAGAAGGAUUCUGUAGUGGGAUUUAGCCCAAUUGCUCCUGUUCCCUGUGGUCAUGGGCACAGGAGCAACUGGGCCAACCGUCGGCCUUCCCUCUAGAGUUGACCUGGGGCCCGAGACUCGCUCAGAACAGGGUUGGCUGUCCAGACCUAAGCCCCCUCAUGGCUCGUGGGGAAACGGAGACAGGGGAGGGCCUUGCCUGGGAGCAGAGUGAGCAAGGGUUGUGUCUGACUGUCCUCGGGCUUGCUUGCUGCCAGGGAGGCUUGNGGUGGGUCAGGGUCUGGCAUGAGCAGUGGGGAGGCCUUUGUCUGGGCCGCACUGGGACUGUUUAUAGCCCUGGGGUGGGUGGGGUGUGUGCAGGGGUGGUUAGAUCAUUUGUAGGUUCCUUUAUGCCCAGGACUGGCACCUGGGAUGUCUCAGGUCUCAGCUCUGCUGGGACUGUCCCCUGGAGCAGCUGCCUGGUCUCCCUAGGCAGUGGGGCUCCCUGCCGGCAUGGUGGCCGAAUGGCCACCUCCUCUCCUGCUAGCCCAGGCCUCCUGCGAACACUCCAGCAAAAAAGGCAGAUGUCUCGUCCUUCAUAGUCCCUCUUAGAAGUUGCCAGGGGUCAGUCCUGUUCUUUGUUGGUCAAAGCCUGCCUGGGUUUUAAGAGAAGGAUGAGAACUCUACUUCUUGGGGAGAGGCAAGCCAAAGAUUUUGCAGCCAUUUCUCACACCACCACAGGCCCUGAAGCAGCGUCAACCAGGGUGAGUUUGAGGAGCCAGAGGAGGCCACUGCCACUCUGUGAGGGCCCUGCUGGGAGACUGGCAGGGAGAAGGUGUUAGGCUUGGGCCAGACCAUAUUGAUGGCAUGGAAGACCAAGUCAGAGCUGUGCAGGGCUUUUGGAGAAAUGGCCCUCUUGUUUGCCUCCCCCGAUCUGGGAAAUGACCCAGAACAUGCAGCGGAGCUGGCUGGAGGGGGUCUGGGCCUCUCUUGCCCCAUAUCAGGCUCACAGCCCCCAUAAAAAUUCCUAGGUGAGGGAAUGACCUCAGGUUUUACCAAGUCUCUAUGGUGAAUGGAUGGCCAGCUGGGUGUGAGGAGCUGACCUCAUGGCCUGGCCUGUCUGAUAGGGACCCUCUCCCUGGGCGCUGGGGAUGAGAAUUUCAGGUGGCUGAGGAGCAGGGACCUGAGUAGAGGGAGCUGUGGGUGGACAGAGGCCAAGGUGGGGCUGGAGCAUCCCUGCUCCCUCACUUCACAGGUGAGACCGAACCUGGCACCUCUGGGCACCCCACAGGAAGGUGGCCUGAGGUGCAGCUGUGAAGAGCCUCAAGGCAGUGCCUGCAGGGGCGGCGGCCAGCCAGGGGAGGGUGGUGAGGGAGCUGCCCCCUGCUUGCCCCUGGCAGGCUAGAGUUCUGGGCUCUCCACCUCCUGACGCCGCUUCUCACUGCCCUCCAGAUUUGGUCCUCCUGGUAGGAAUGAGGUGGCAUCUCCUUGUCCCUGAUGAGUGCUUUCCUGAUGGCACACGACGUCCAGCUCCUCUUUUGUGCUGUUGGCCAUAUGUGUCUUUCUGGAGGAAUGUCUGUCAGGUUCCUGGCCCACGCUUUCACGGGGUUGACGUUCUCCCUCGGAGGUCUCCUCUGCCGGGCGGCCCCGCCCUCCUGAGCUGCUGCUUUGCUGGUGGAUGCUCUGCCCUGGGCCCCAGCCGGCUUGCCUUUCUCUGGCCCCUUUUCCCCCUCCCUUCCUCCUGUCUUGCCUGCCUCACAGCUUGGAAUCCCUCUUGGGUACUCAGAUUCUACUGGUGGCCCUCCAACGGCACCCUCUUGUCUCCUGGCUGGCCUGUCCACCGGGACCUCUCAGUCAGAGGCCUCCAUUCUCACAGGCCAUCAACUGGUCCAUCCUCUCUCCUCUUGAGAAAUCCUGCCUGACCACUUCUCACCCCCUACGAUGUGACCAUCUGGUCCAACCACUGUACCCCUUCCCCGCCCCCACCUGUCCUCCCACCUCUCAUCUUGUGCUAAUGGUUGAUUCUAUGCAGAGGUCAAGGUGGUCUUUAAAAACAUGAGUCAGACCAUAGCAAUGUGUGCUCAGAGCCUGGGGUCUAGGGGCAGGGGGUGCUGGGGGCUGCUCCCAGCGUCCAGCCCCCAGCCUCAGGCUCAGACAUCAUGCCUACCCUGCCCUCUGCCCUCCAUGGCUCCUGCAGGUCAUGCUUCUUGACCAUUCCAUGGCUGGGUGUCACCCACAGCAUGGGCUGUGUCUGCUCCUGUGGCUGAGCUUCAGGCCACUGUUCCCAGCAGCAGUGCCUGGGCAGGUCAGCCUCCAUGGAGAGGGUGGGGCUGGGAGAGGAGCCCAGCCCUUCCCACAGCCCUGCAGCCUGUAGCCAGGGGAGCCUGCCGGAGCUCUGCAGACGCUAGGAGCCAGGGCACGGAAGGAAGGCCCUGCCUGACCUCUGGGCUCUGGGGAGGAGGAGCUGUGCCUUGGAGCCGCAGUGGGACGUGAGGAGCCCAGCCCAAGGCGUGGUAUAGCCACCUGCCCAGAGCUGGGGCUGGCUGCAAGGUCAGCAGCUGCCCCCCUAAAGCUCCUGCAGGGCUCCAGCAGGUCCCAGCUAGCAGACAUGGCUUGUCCCUGGUGGCUGACUGGUGGAGUGUCCUUGGCCAGGUGUGGUGACCUGUCUGUAUUUGAGGUCUCUCUUCUGUGACACGAGUACUCAGGUCUAGUGCCCAAAACACCAUGCAGGGCUCAGCAGGAAUGGUUUCCUGGCCUCCUUUCUCCCUCCCUAUCCUACCCCUUAGUGCCACAGUCCCUGCCCGCCUGUGUCCUGAUGUCCUGCCUGGACAGUUGGGAGUUCCCUGCUGCAGAGUGACUGUGUGGGGAAGCUCGUCUUGUGACGAGGAGGGCUGCCAGGACAAGUCCAAACGCAGUGAGCCUGAGAACGGCAGGUGGCCUUGGGGUCCUCCAGAUGUCUUGGGGGCAGCAGGCUGCCGUGUCCCAGAAGCCUCCCACAGCCAUGGUGCACUUUCAGAUUCUCCUAAACGCGCCUCAUUUAUUGAGGGAUUGUAAUGAGUCUUCUGUAUUUUUAUAAACAAAGUAAAUUUGCAUAUAGUCCAGCAUGCAAUUAAAAACCAGUAAAUAAACCAGUGAAAUCAAGCCUCUCAUCCUGGGUGAUUGAUGGUUGGUGUCAUCUUUGGGCUCUCGUUUGUGGCCCCCUGUCACGUCCCUGUGUAUCUUGCGCUUGCCCAAAGCUGCGUGCCCCAGGGCUCAGGUAUUGGUGUGGCUGUCUGCCGCCACACCCUCCUUUCCACUGUGUGCCCUUACUCUGCCCGCAGUGCCUCGACGUGGCCUGGCAAGACAGGGCAGGGGCAGGAGUGGGUUAAUGCUCACUCACUCUUGAGUGCCUAUUGCACGUCCCCAAGGGCCUGGGCCUGUUAUGGCCCCAUGGCAGGUAGAGACGAGGGGCACAGUCCAGGACUGGCCUCUGGUCACACAUUGAGUGGAUUCAAAUGGUGUUUGGUGUGGACCCAUGUACAUUCCUGGGAAGAGCCCCGCUCGGGCAUGAGGCCCUGCCUGUGUGUGUCCUGGAUGCGCCUGGUUGCCGUGGCCGUGGUCACCAGGUGCACUGGUGUGUGUUUGCAUUUCCUGGAAGGUCUGUGUCCACUGCAGGAGCGCAGGCCUACAGGGCCAGUCAGAGGGUUUUCAUCCUGCUCCUCCCUCUAGGGGCUGUUGGGACUGUAUGACUUCUUUCCUGGGUGUUAGUGGGGUUUUCCUGGGGUUUCUUUGUUGCAAGUUGAAAAACUAGGAACCCAGCUUGCUUUUCAGGGUGGGCCUGACGGAGCUGCAUGGCCAGGCCAUCCUGCUGUCUUUUAGGGGUCAGUCGGUUUUUUGGCUGUGUGUGUCAUCGUGUGUUCGUGCUGCUGCUUCCUUGGGCCUCAGUGUCCACUCACCGCCGUCUCCUCGCACGUAGCGUGGUUGGGCCUCACUGCCCGAGAGCCCUGCAGUGCCUGGUCCUGCCCUGCUCCUGCUCUUAGUGCUGUGCGGCCACUGUGCUCACUGCUGCUCUUGCUUUCGGCUGUUGGCCACCUCCCGAGGGUUCAGGUCACAGAGUUUCUGUUAAGCCUUGGUGUUGGUCACCUCCAGAGAUACCUUGUUUUGUGUGGGCCCAUCUUCUGUGGCUCCCUGCUGGCCAUUACUGAAGGCAGGUGUGAGGGCGCAGUGGUGGUGCACCCUCUCUGGUCUUGUCUGUUGGAGAAAGUGGCCUCUGCAUUUUCAUUUUGAAAUACGUUUUGUUCUGGGUAUUGAGUUCUGGGUUCCCGGUUUUUCUCUGACCCCUUUAGAAAUGUCUCCUGUUCCCUCUGGGAGCUUGUGGUUUCUGAUGGGAAGUCAGCUGGCUCUUUCUCAGUGCUUCUAGGUAAGUGACGUGUCCUUUUCUCUGGCGGCCUCAAUACUUUCCGUCCUUGAUUCUGAACCAUUGGGACAUGGUGCACAUGAGUGUCGUACCAUUCUUAUUGGUGGGUAAGGAUCUGCUUAGGGUCCUGUAAGAUGCUUGAAUCUGGGUUGGAUCUCAUCUGUGUCUUUUCAGGUUUUCCCUCCCUCUGCUUUCCCUGAGGGCCGUGCCAGCUGUGAGCGUGCUGGCCCAUUUGCUGUUGUCCCACAGUGCUCGUGCUCUUGUCCCUUCUCCUGUUUCCUGCUGUGUCUGACUUUCAGUGGGCCCUCUGCCUGGCUGCCGCCCGGUCCUCUCUCGCUCUUUCUUCUGGGCUUUCUCUGUGCUCUCCUUAGUCUGCUGUGCUGCCUGUCUUGGUUCUGUGGGUUUGUGCUCUUGCUUGCAUCUGGAGGGUCUAGUCACUCUCCUUCCAGCGCCUUCCGAGCGCUCCCUCCUCUCCGGAUCACUGAUCACACCCUGCUUCCCGUGGCUGCUGUCCCUGGGUCACAGGCUUCAGUCUCCCCCUUUCUCCCUUGCUCUCCCCGGAUACCAGCUGGGACAGUGUCUGUUGCUGCUUUCUAAGUGAUGCUCUUUUCUCUUGCAGCAUCUACUCUCAUUAAGCCCUUCUAGAGAAUUUUUAUUUUAGGAAUUUAUCAUAUGUUUCAUCCCUCAAAGUUGCCCUUGGCUCCUUUGUACAUCUUCCGUUUUGCCCUUGCUGUGCCCACGUGUGUGGUGGGCGCUUUGCCCUGCCAGCCGUGUUGUGAUCGCUGACAGCCUCGCUGCGGGGCCGCCUCUGUUGCUGCCUGUUUCGCUGCGUGCUGUCACCCUGCUUCCGGCCAGCUCUGUUCCCUGGUCUGCGCCUCGUGAAGCCGUGGCUCCCAGUGGCUGUGCUGUGCUGUCUCCCGGAGAGUGUUAGGUUGUCCCGUGGGGGCAGAUGUGGUGAGCAGUGUCCUUUGUUGCCCUGGCCGCCUUCUGUGGCCCACUGUGCCCUGCAGCACCCUCUCCAUGUGGGCGACGCCGCGCUUCCCAUGGCCUGUGUGUGCACUGAGGGCGGCUCAGGCCUUCAGUGGUCUCCAAGCACCAGGCCGCUGCCCUCAUGCCUCACAGGAGCUCUUGCUGGCGGUCACUGCUUCUGUCCUCAGCCUCCACGACUGAGGGCGGUCAGGUGUGGUGGUGGCUCUCAUCAGGUGGGGGGAAGUGCGGGGCGCGUUCCCCUGGUGGGGCUGCGGCUGCUCUUGCAUCCCGCAGGUCCGUCAGCCCCAGGAGAGGACUGUGGCUCUUAGAACCGCCCAGGACUUCUUAUGGGGAUUCUGAGGACCUCCUCUCACACAGGAGCCCCCUGGCCUUGCCUGGAGCUCUCCAGGGAUGCUGUGCCUCUUCUGCAGGGCACUGGCCCUGUCCUACCUGUCCCACUCAGCCUCUCCUGGGUCUGGGGCCAGUGGCAGGCAGGGGUCCAUGAGCCCCCCUUGCCCCUCGUCUUCUGUGGGCCUCCCAGUGCCACGGUGUGCCGGCCCUGGGUGUGCCGUCUGUGUGCAUCUCCACCAGGCAGGUACAGGGUGCUUGCCUCACUUGGAGGAGGCUGUGGGCUCCUUCCCACCUGUGACCACUGGCCUGAUUUCCAUGCUGUGAGUAGCUUUGCCUCUUCUGAGCUCAAUGCAUGGAACCGUGAAGUCCGUGGCCUCCUGGGCCUGGGUCGUCUCCUGUGUGGGGUUUCUGAGGUUGCGUCACGUGGCCACGUGUGGUAAGAGCCGACUCUCAUUGCUGAGUGGUGCUCUUGUGUGGCUGACUCAUACUCUGCUUGUCUCGCCCUCAGGGCCCGCGGGGCCUCUCCAGCCAGCGCGUGUCUCCAGGUCUGUGUGCCUGGUCCUCCCGGGCGAGAUGCUGGGAGUGGAGCAUGCCCAAGCUGGAGAGGCGCCAAGGAGCUCCCCAAGGCCCUGCCACCUUCCCUCCUGCCCAGCAGACCAGUGCAGCCGGGGCGUCUGCCCUUCAUGGCCUUGGCCUUUCUGCCUGGGGCCUAGGCCGUGGGGCUGUAAGUGCCACUUGACUGUGGCCUCAGUGUACAUCUCUUUGGAGGAGGGCUGUGGGGCGUCUUCCCCGCACAGUCCCUUCUCUGUCUUCCCUCGGGGCGUCUCUUCACAUGGUGCCUCUGAUUCCCGGGGCUGUUUGUCCCGAGCAUUGGACUCGAGCGUCCGUGCCGCCCUCUGCGCAGCCCGGGUCGGUGCCAGUGUACAGAGUCUUUUCCUUGCAUCGUGGCGGCCUCUUCAUUUUAAGAGUCUCUUAAGAAGAGCAGGAACUUUCAGCGUUAGGCAGAUCAGGAAUGCUUCACCAUAGCUAUGUCCUGAAUGUGGUGUGUCCCCUGAGGUGGCAGUUGGACCCAGGGUCUUGUUCACGGCCCUCAAAGGUGGGCACUCUGCUGACUGUGUGUCAGAGAUGGGCUCUUGAGAGGCGAUGGGGCCAGGUCCCUGGGGUGGAGCUGCGACUGGAUCCUAGCAGCUUUGUGAGCAGAGAUCGCGCACUGAGGGGCACCUGCCACCCCAACAUGGUACGACUUGGGGCCCAGCGGUGGUCCCAUGAGAGCCUGUGCUGCACGGCCUGGGACUGCAGAGCCGCCAGUCAAGCACAGCGCCCACCGUGGGGAGCCACGCAGAGCCUGCGGACACCUGCAGGGUGUCCACGGUGCUCAUGGCUCCCGCCCAUAGCUAGGCUUGUGGUGCAUUUGGAGUUCACUCCUGCAUGUGCCCUCAGGAAGGGUUGAGGGUCACUUUUUAAAAAUACUUUUAGCACCAUUUGUCGAGACAGCCAUCUUUGCCCAUUGGCUGCAUGGGUGCCUUUCUGAACACCGUGUGCCCACGUUCCUGGAUUUCUCUGUACUGCUGUGCUGUGUCCCCGGCCAGUGCUGGGUCCCCAGGCUGCAAUCCUGCUCAGGCCAGGCAGGCUGGUGCCCUCCAGCUUGCUCCUCUGUGCAGUGCUGUGGACCCUCAGGUCCUUGGUGUGUCAGUGAACAUCUCAGAAUCACCUUGUCGAUUUUUGUUUUAAAAUCCUGCUGUAGUUUCAACUCAGUUGCGUGGCGUCUGCAGACCUCUGUAAGAAUGGCCCUCUUAAGGGCGCCCUGUGUGCCCGGAGUGCGCCUUUCUGUUGACUUGUCUCGGCAGUGCCUCGGGGCUUUCCAGGGGUGGGUCUUGUGUUUAUCAUUGUUCUGUUGGAAGUGGCUCAGGGACCUUGAGGCUGAACACUGCUUUUGGUGGCUUUGUCCACAUUCCACUGUCCACUCUUGGCCACGGCUGUUUUUUGUGCACUGCUGGUGUCCUGUGGGGCCUCAGGUUCAUUAUUGGUUCCAGGAGCUUUUCCCUAGACCCCUCGGGAUUUCCUGUGUGCAGGGACAUGGAUGUCCUGGCCUCCCAAGAGAGCAAUGUGGGGUCUCUUGCUCUAGUUUCCUUAGACUCUCAGUCGUGAGUGACGGAUUGCAUCAAGGCUGGCUCCUCCUAACUUAGUGAGCCGUCUCCUUUCUAACCGGUUGGUCCAAGUCACAGUUACGGGCCUGACCUUUCCUUUUGUACUAAGGAUUGACCCCCAGGGCAGUUCACCACUGAGCUACAUCCCCAGUCCUUUUUGUUUUGAGACAGGUCUCACUAAGUAGCUGAGGCUGGCCUCCAACCUGUGUGCCACCUGUGUCAGCCUCCUGAGCUGCUGGAAUCACUUGUGUGGCCUUGUGCCCGGCUCAUACCCUGACUUUGAAGUGUCAGGCCACCUCUGAACCCUCGGUCAGCGCCCCCUCGGCAGGGCCCCGUCUCCUUUCUGUGCUGUCUGUCCGAGGUCUGUCCUGGGCUCUGCGGUGGCGCCUGCUGUCUCUCUUCUCAGGGUCUGUGCUCGGCUUUGGCGUGGUGGGGGCUGCUCCUGCAGUCUGCCCCCGGGUCGCUUGUUCCCUGGUGGUAGAGCCGUCUCACCUGGGUCUGGUGGUGUUUCAGUUGCAGUUUCAGUCUCGCCACCGCCGGUGUCCUCAGGCCUGUCUGUUGAGUGGUGUUGGUCCUUCUUGUCUCCACGGCGUGUCCCUUCACGUUGGGUCUGCGGUCACGUCCCUUUUCAUUCUCCAUGUGGCUCGUUUGUGACUGUUCCUGACGUUUCCAGCUACAGUUGUGCAACCUUGACCUUCAGAGAGAGCUCUUUGGCCCCAUUGGCCGUGUCCACCUGGGUCUGCCCGUGACCGUGUGGUCACACCCUCCUCUCUGUGUGUAGGUAGGUAGCGGGCUCCCCAGGGCUCCGGGGCUACAGCUUCUCCUCUCGCUCCUGACGCCGACUCUGAGCGCCUGGGAGGAGCCUGCUCUGCUGCAGCCAUAGCUCUGCGCCUCCUCUGACUGCUCUCUGCGUCGCUGGGGGCAGGGUGGCCGGCGCUGUAACUGCAGUCGGUCUCUGACUCCAGAAGCUGGUCUCGGGGGCCUGCAGCUGGCGCCUUUCCUCUGCGGGGCGCCCCCUCUGGCCCCUUCACUGCUGGCUGAGCACCUGCUGUGCCUGCGGCCUUGGGUGGCCGGGUUGGGUAAGGGAGACUGGUGAGGGGACAGAGAGGAGAUGCCCGUGGAGGAGGACCUACAGGACCCGGCCCAGAACCAGCUGCCCUUGCUCUAGUGCUGAUGACUCCAUGAAGAUGUGGCGGCCACCAUUUUUGGGAUGGAGUCUGAGGAGAGGAGCGUCAGUGCCGGGCAGAGGCAGGUGUGGGUAGUCACAGCCUGGCCUCCCGGGGAGCCAGCCCUGGGCUGUGCCGAGUGUCUUGCCCACUGCCCUGCAGCCACAGUGCCAGUUCACAGCCCGGGUCGUUGCCUCAGCUGUCCAGGGGCUGCAGGGUCACGGCGAGCAAAGCACCGAUGUGGGGAUUGUCCGGAUGGGCAUCAGCAGUGGUGGGGCGGGAGGGCCCGUGAAGGGCGGGAUAGGAGGGCCAGGGGAGGCUGGAGCACUGUGCAGGGACUUGGGCUUUGUGAGAGUGACACGUGGAAUGGCUGGCCAGUGUGAGGGCUGGGACAUGACCUGCUUUUAGCACCUCUGCUUCAGGGACUGUGCCAGGGUGGAGUAGGACGCUGUGGCCGUGAGGGGCAAGAGGCCUUCAGGAACCCAGGGGCGCAGAGUGUCUGACCCUGCGCAGAGCAGCCCAAGGCGAGGCAGCGCUGCACUCCCAGGACCCGCAGUGGUCAGGGCAGAGCAGGUCUCAGGCUCUCAAAGGCCACCCACUGGUGCUGGCACCUGACCAGGUGACACCCAGCAGGCAGUGCACCGUCCGCACCACAGGUCACGGCCACCUGUUGAGGGGUUCACUGCCCCAGCUGUCUCUGACUGCCGAGCGGGUCUUGGCUGUGCAGUUGCCCCCGCAUGCCAGACUGGGAAAUGGAGGAUGGGGACAGGGGAGCCGAGAGUUUUGCUGAAGAGACAGGAAGGCUGGGGGUACAGGGGUGGAGAUGGGGAAGUCAGGAGGUCCCGGGCAGGCCGAAUGUGAGAGCAGUGGGAGGCCCAGGCGGAUGGACCGAGGGUCAUUAGGGAGGACAGUCUGGAGAUCAGGUCCAGGUGGGGGCAGGACCAUGGGACGAGGACGCUCAGGUGGGUCUCAGGCUGUGGGACUGGCAAGCUCGCUGAAGAGGUCCUUGUGGGGAGUGGCAGUGAGGUGGUGGUCCAGGGUGGAGUGUCAGGCUCUGUCACGUGGCCGUCGGCACAGUGAGUGGGCAGCCUCUAGAAGGAGGUGGACCAGGAGGCAAGACCUAGCUGGGUAGCAGCCAUGCCAGAGUCAUUGGGGCCGGAAGGCCCCCGUCCCUGCUGCUGUCACCAGCCUUUCCCGGCUCCUCCUCAGCCCGCCCUAGCUCUCUCCUGCACAGACUGCCACGCCCUGCCACUGAAGGGCUGCGGAGGGGAGGCACAGCUGGGGCAGUGAACCCCUCAACAGGUGGCCGUGACCUGUGGUGCGGACAGUGCACUGCCUGCUGGGUGUCACCUGGUCAGGUGCCAGCACCAGUGGGUGGCCUUUGAGAGCCUGAGACCUGCACUGCCCUGACCACUGCGGGUCCUGGGAGUGCAGCGCUGCCUCGCCUUGGGCUGCUCUGCGCAGGGUCAGGAGGGCUCUCUGGGUUCUGCCAGGCCAGGGUCCCGCCUCUCUUGGGUGUGACUUGGAUGUGUAUACCCAGGUGUCACUCCACUGGGGAGGGUCAGCGCCUGCAAAGAGCACUGGUCUCAUUUGCUGCUGGGGCCACAUUCAAAGCUGCAGCUGGACUGUGGCCAGGGUUGUCUAGGCCCUCUCAUGCCACUGCUCUGGGGGUGGCAACAGGCUCACCCUGGGCCCCAGAGCCACGCUCUGCUCAGCAUCGAGGGCCCGUUGCCGGGAGCUUGGCCGGGCCUCCUCACUGGUGCCCAGCUGCCCGUGGCGGGCUGGACGGCUCUGAGCCGCGAGUCUAUGUUUGGGGUGGUCCUGGAGGUGGCCUCUGCCUCCCACGCAGCUCACCUUGCUGUUUCUCCCCUGUCUGCCUGUCUGCCUGCUGUCCCUGCCCCUCCCGCCCUCUGCCUGCCUCUGCCUGUCCUGCCCCCUCUGGCCCUGCCUGCUGCUUCUCUCCCUUCUCUCUGCUCCUCUCCAUUUGCUCGCUGGGCUCUGCCUGUCCCUCUGCCAUGCCUUGCUCUCCCUUCUGCCUGCUGUGUCCCCUUCUCCCCGCCCCUUCCCUGCCCCAGGCACGCGAUGCAGCAGGAGACCAACAGAGCCGUGGCGGCCAGUGCUGGUGCCUUGAAGCAGACGUCAGAGCUCCUGCGGGGCUCCUGUCUGGUAUGUUUCCCUGAGGGCUGGGCCAGACCAGGGAGGCCCUGAGGGAGGGGAUGUGGCCCUGGAGGGGUUCGGGGAUCCGUGUGCACAGAUGGAUACUCAGGCUGCCCUGGGUUCGGCCACAUGUGGCUCAGGGGCCAGAACUGGGUGUGUGGGCCCUUUGAGCAGCAGGGGCCAGGGGUGGCUGCUGCGACUGCUCUCCUGGCACCUGCCUUGUGGUUGUGGUGAGGGUGUCCGAGUCUUGGCUGGGCCUUCCUGAAUGGAGACUGACGACCCCAGGGUCAGUGUCACUGUCUUUGCCCCCUCCACUGCCCCUGCCUUCCUGUCCCCGUCUCUGCCUCCCGGCUCCCUGGGAGCUCCCUGCCCCUUGCCAGUGUUCAUCAUUGGGUUUCUGUGUGCGCCUGUCCUGUCAGUCAUUACCCUGCCCCUCACCAGCCACAUGAGGUUUGUCACCACACCUAUUGCCACACCAGGGUCCCAGGAAUGUCUGCCACCACAUAGCUCCACCCCCACCCUCCUCUCACCUGUGCCAGGAAGCACACUGUGUUACCCACACCCCACCCAAGUGUCCAGAGAUCAGAGGAUGCUGCUCUCAGAGGGUCAGAGGCCAUUGGGCCUCGGCGACUGCCGCCUGCCCGGCCUGUGCAGGGCGUCCUCAUACCCAGCCUCUGAGGUAUGCCCAUCUCAGUGCUUCCCGCUGCCAGGACACUGCCUAGGUGCGAGGGCUGAGUGGCCUGCAAAGCCUGGUCCUGAGGACAGCAGAACCCUGCUGAGCUCUGCGUGGACACAUAUGGCGUGGCACCUGCCUGCAGGAGGUGCUGCUCAACAGGGGGGUGGGACUUGGAGGCCCCCGCCCCCCGCCUGGGCAUACCUCGAGGGAGCCCGAGGGCAGCAGGCCUGAGGUUGGCAACCAUAAGGUGGAUCAGUGGCUUCCAGGACUGGGGGUGCAGCGGAACCUACUGCAUUCGGGCACCAGGGAACUUUGGGUGAUAGAGUAUUUUAAAAGCUGGGUGGUGAUAGCUGUGCCACUGCAGAGUGCGGCUCUGCAUGCUAGGGUGGGGCCAUGGGAUCAGUCAAGCUUCCUAAAACUAAGAUGUGGCCAGCUUUCCAGUGACUGGGCACACAGACUCUCCCAGAGGUGCUCUGGUGGCCGGUAGCUGAUCUCACAGGACUUGCUAAUCAGUGCAGUUCUUCAGGGGAGACGCGACUCUCUUUGGUUCUGAAUCUUGGGCAGGAGUCAUAGCUGCUCACAGAGUCAUAGCAGCCUGACCACUAGUGUAUCCCAGGCCUUCUGCUCAGCCGCCUGGGCUGGGCCUGGCACCUGCAGCAGCACCCUUGGUUCUGCGACCUGUGUCCUCCUGUCCAUGCAUGCCUUCCUUCUUCAGACAUGCUGGCCUCUCACAUGGCGCCUGUUCUCCAGGUCAUAGGCACGCCGUGCAGCAGGAGCACCACAGUCCCCGCCCAUCUUCUGGUGCGGCCAGCUGACCUGCUCGCUAGAGCCGACACUUGCCCAGUGCCUGCUUUGUCUCCGCCUGGUGGGGUGGGCACACUUAGGGAAGAGGUAUCUCCUACACUGUGGGACAUGAUUGAGGUGGCGACCCCCCCAUGCCCUGGUCCUUGGAGGUUUUCCACAAGCCAGGACUUGUAAGUCUGUCGCUCUUCCCGGGGCCCUGGCAGCACUGGCCAGUAUCUUGCUCUCUUUCUACAGGAGGAACGACCUGCCCAAGAUGCCUUGGCUAGGGAGGAGCCCAGUAGAUGUGAACUCUGGCCCAGGUGGGCCCAGCCGGCCCCUGUCCUCUACCAGGGCGACACAGAGCCUGAGCCCCGCGUGUCUGGCAUAGUUAGCCAACACGGUCAUCCAGCAGGGUCCUUGGGCAUGGGUGUAGGACACCCCCUGGUUACCAAAGUCCGUGUUCAGCCAAGUUCCUUGCAUAGAGUGGUGUAUCAUGUGUAGGUGACUUGUGCACGCCCUCCCGUGUACUUCAGGUCACCUGAGCUCCUGGGGUGCCAGCAUGGUGCAGAGACUGUGGCCAGUGGUAGGCGCACUGAUGGGGGUGAUGGCGAGAGCAGGGGUGAUCUGAGCCAGGCACGGUAGUCUGAGUCCUCUGUGCUGUUGGUGGACCCCGGUGUGGCAGUGUUCUAAAUGACAGCCUACUGGGUGUCCGUCUGCCCUACUCCACCUGAAACCCCACAGACUUGCUUGUGAAAUUGGGGCGAGGAGGCACAAAUGGGCUGGGAGCCUUCCUUGGUGGCUCCCAUAGUGCCGUGGGAGGACUCUGGACCACGCAGUGUCCACUGGCCCUGGGCAAGUGCAGGACGCGACAGGGCCUCACAGGAGGAGGUCUCACCACAUGCCGUGGCCUGAAGGAGGGGGCACUGCUGUGGGCCCGUGGUGUUGGCAGGCAUGGGGAGCAGCUGCCCAAUGUGCUGGGGAUGCUGGGUGGAGGGAGGUCUCGGUUACAGCAGAUGGGCCUGAGGGUUCAGUUGCCCAUGUGGGCAGGGGUUGAGGACUGGGCUUCUCCUUGCUCUAACAAGAGUCUGUGGGGAAGCACCCGCCGUGUGGCUCUCGGUGCCUCCCUCACCCGGCCCGAGCUUUAGGGAAUGAGAUGGUUUGGGUCACCGUAGCCACCUCCACUGCCGAGGGAGGGACCCUGGCAACCUGGCUGCCUUCUGUGUGGUGCUCACUGCUCCCUCGCAAGGUGGGUGUGGAGCCCCUUGUUUUGGGGGCUCCAUGGCCUGGUAGCUCUAGGAAGCAUGCCAGGUCCCCUUUCUCCUUCCUGAGCUGGUCUGCUGAGUAGGGCACAGGGGGACAUCAGUGCAGCCUCCCAGAGGUGCAUGCUGGGGUGGGUGCCAGGCGGGCUCUCUGGAGGAAGGCUCGCGCAGCAAACAGACACCAUGGGCAGCAGCAGGGCCAGUGCUGUGCUCUCCCAGGCUACUUGCUCUGUCCUGGGGUUCAAGUGUGGUAUCCAUGACCUGAGGCCACCCACCCAGGACAUCGAAACAGGCUCCACCAACUGCUGAGUGGGGCGUGUGGGCCCAGAGUUGGAAAGCCUGUCCCUCAAGCGCGGGCCACAGCUCAUCUGCCAACACUAGCACCUCUCGCCAUGGGUGUUAGUGGCAGUGGGUGGCGGUGUGUGGUGGCUGUGGACAGCCAGGUCUGCUGGGACCACACUGAAGUACCCAGGCUGGGCAGGGCACUAGAGCUGCUGUGGUUUCCUUGGUGCCAGUUCCACAGGGCUGGAGGCGGGAGGGGAGGCCCUAUCAGGCAGUGGGGUCCGUGGCCAACCUGAGCAGGGACACUUGACUCCAGGCCUGGCCUGUCCAGCCCCUCACCUGAUGAACGCUUCUGGAGCACCAGCUCAGUGGCGGUUCACGUCUUGGUGGCGGUGUGUGGUGCUGAACAGCAGGGGAGCAGGCUGAGGGGCGGUGUGGCGGGGGAGGGGGACAGCAGUAGGACAAGGCAUGGGUCCCUGGGACCCGGCUCCAGUACCUGACGCCUGGACUGGCCCAGUCAGGACUCGGGUCCUGGUCUCCUGGGCUGUGGGGCGACCACAGUGCUUGGGUUAUGAGGGGCCAAGCCACACACUGGGCCACCGUAGCUCCGGGCUCCUGACUGUGCUGGUCGCGCUCCGUGGGUCCUAUGGUGCUGGUGUCACUGGGACUCUGGCUGAUGACGACAGUGGCCAUGAGCCACUUCCUCAGGGUGGGGAUGUGACAAUGCAUGGAGAAGCUGGGCUGUGGCCCUGCUGGGCAGAGAGGGGCACAGAGAGCACCAUGACAGUAAGCCUGCCCUCUGUCUGCAGCAGGAGCGCCUUCAGCUGGACCGGCUGAAGAUCCAGCUAGCAGAUGCCAUUCAGCGGUACGGAGUGGUCCAAAAGGUGAGGUGCCGCUGGCGGGGUGCAGGCCAGUGGGGGCUGUGGGCCCUGGAGCAUACCUCAGGUGGCUGUCUCUGGGUGGCGUGGGGUGGCCUUCCUCCUCCAGAAGUGCUGCCCCAAGGGGAACUUACAACAGCCUCCUGGGGACAGGCAGGGCAGGCCUCACCCCAUUUUGACAGACAGGGAAACGAGGCCCUCUGAGGCUGUCCAGCCAGUCCUGCGAGCCUGCCCAGGGCCUGGCUCCCCCCGGUGUGCUUGGCUCUCAGGGCCUGUGGUUUAUCUGACCCUUCUCUUUCCACCUUUAACAUUCUUCGUUUCUUUCUUCUUUUGUACUUUUUCCAACAGAAAAUUGCAGAAAAGUCCAGAGCACUGCUUCCCACAGCUCAGAGGGGCAUCAAACAGGUGGGUGCCACGUGGGUACUGUGGUCAGGCAGUGGCUGUGGGGUCAGUACCGACUCCGUUGCCGUCUGUGCUCCAGGAGAGGGUGGGAAGCUGGGGACAGGCCCAUUCAAGGGUCUGCCUCAGUGUCCAGCUUGUAGAGCUCCGGCAUUCUGACCUUUGGGCUCUGGCAUGGUGCCGACCCUAGGAAGCUCCCAAGUGACUGCUGAUGGUUGCGUGUGGCAUCACACUUUCUUAUUUUCUAUAACAAAAUACUUGAGACCGAGUGCUUUAUAAAGAAAAGGUUUAUUGAGCUCCCAGUUUGGAGGCUGCAAGUGCAAGUGGCCCCAUCAGCUUGGCCUCUACUGAGGGUCCCCUGGCAGUUGGCAUCCCAGUGGCAGGAGUCUUGUGGUGCGCGGAAAGCCAGAGUGCGACGUGGUCAGGUGCACUUUCACAACCCUCACCCUGCAGGGCUAAGCGGGCUCCCCUGGCACCACUGCACCUGAUCACCUCAUAAGGUCCUUCCACCUUCCUGUCACCGCACAGGGGACCAGGAUCUCACACCCUCCAACCUUAGCAUAGGCACACUGCCUGUGAGAGCCAUGUAAAGCCAGGAUAUACACACACCCCGACUCAGAGACGUGCCACACACAGACCAGCCGGGACACGAGAGACAGAUUCCAUUGACCAUGCUGGGCAGGGUGGCCUGGAGCCUCAGCAGCCUCACUGGGCCAGGAGGACAGGUUCCAGAGCUCAGACUUCCUCAGCCAGGGCUUGAGGAGCGUCCUCCAGGAGAAAGACAGCCCCACCCCACCCCACCCGUGCAGCCCCCUCAGGGCUCUGCUGAUCUGCAUGCUGUGUGGGCCUGCUGUGCCAGGCCAGGGAGCAGGACAGAGGCCGUCAGCAGAAGAGCCAGCGGGACCUCGGCACUCAGAGUACUGAGGCAGAUGUGGUAUAAGGCCCAUGGAGGAAGGGCUAUUGUGGGCACCACCGGCCAGUUGAGAGCCCUGAGCAUCAGAGGCACCAGGAGGAGGCCAAUCCCAGUAAGCCCUGAAACUGUGCCCGCUGGCUGCCCAAGGAUGGUCGUGUUCCUUCUGGAAGACAAGUCCAUGGUCUGAUGUCUCUGGUUGCUCAUUUAUGGCAUCUAGGAUUUUAACCAAAAUUGCUGGGCAUGCCCGGUACUGGGAGAAUAAAUAGUGACCAAUCUUCAGGGAAUGUGGAUUGAAAUGAUUGGAUGUGAACUUAAUGAAGCUGUGCAAAUGUGGAAGGAGUUAGAUGAGGUGGUGGGACUUUCCUAGAGAACUUGAAUCUGCACAUGGAGAAGUCCAGCGUUGAAUACACCAAGACUAAAAUGAAGACCUCAGGAGAUUGGCCAGCUCUCAGGUUAGAAGAAGGCAGGAUUGAUGAACUGGAAGGCGGUGACACAGGUAAGGGGUGAGAAGGUGUCCAGUGCCACGGCCAUGCCCAGCAACUUGGGAGGCUGAGGAGGAGAAUGCCAAGUUCAAGCCCAGUCUAAGCGACUUGGUGAGGCCCUGUCUCAAAAUGAAAAAUAAAGAACAAGGGCUGGGGUGUAGCUUGGUGGCACAACGUCCCCAAAAAGAUCCACAGAAGAAUGUAGUAGUUGGAGGCCUAGAUGAACAGAGGGAAAGAAUGGAUAGAACUAAUGUUUGAAGAGUAAUGGCUAAAAAUUUCCCCAGACUGUCCAAAUACUGCAGGCACAGAUCCAAGAAACUUUAUGGUAAGUAGAGUAAGUUUGUCCCUGAUUUAAAUAAAAUCCUUGGUUAUAUAGUAAUAAAAAUUUGAAAACCAAAGGCAGAAAUCAAUCUUAAAAGAUUUUGAAACCACAGAAAAUCUUAAAAGCACGUUACGCCAGAGGAGAAGGGCACGCUGUGUUUGAAGACACAGGAACCACAGCUCACAGAAGCGGUGAGGGCCAGGAGACGGCAGAAGCGCCCCUGUGCUGGGUCGUGCUGGGUUGCACUGGGUCGCACUGGGUCGUGACACGUGACUGACCCAGUCAGGGUCACCCCAGGUGAACUGGGCUGCACCAAGUAAACACACAGAGGCAGAGAAAUACCUUUUUCUCUGGUUCUGUGACGGCUCCUCCAACCCAGCUCCCACAGGAGACAAGGCAGGCAAGAGAGAGUGUGCUCCUUGAACCCGGGUGUUGUUGGGGGAGGCUGUUCCAUGGACUGUUCUAUCCCCCAAAGGGCAAAGGGGUAGGACUACAAAGGAACAGGUGAGUGGACUCAACCCAGCAGGUGACAUCUACUCCUGGAGCCACACUGUGUUAUCCGAGCUGGGGUAACGCCCAAGUUACUGUGACCUGGCUCUGCCGUGCCAGAGGAAGACAGUGACUGUUCAGNGACAGGAGCAGGGUCGGCUCUGGGAGUGCAAGGCUGGUCAAUUCAGAAACAGUUGGUGUGAUUCACCUGCUAGAACACAUGGGCUGACGCCAGGGCUGUCCCAGCACACCCAGAAAAGCCCCACUCAGGGAUGCUGGGAAACGGGCAGAGUAGGAACUGGCAGGGUGACUUGGAUCUGUAAGAGGUGCCUGCAGAACCCGAAGCUCGUUGCACUCUGCUGGGCAAACGUCGUCUCCUGAGCUCGAGGAUAGGGCACCUACUUCUGUCCCCUCCAUUGGCAUUGUGUGGACCUGUGCAGUGUGGUGGGCAUGAAGAGACAGGUGGGAGACCCAGGCAGAGCGGGGCAGGCUGCUUCUAAGGACCCGGCGGGACUUGGAACUGGUGAGAGUUGAGAUGCUAGCUCGGCAUCUGGGAAGACAGAAAUUACAUUGAAGACGUGAUGUGACUCCAGUCAUUCUUCACAGUUAGUGCCCAUAGCCCCAGCUCGUGGAGGGGCUGAGGUGGGAAGGACCACUGAGCCCAGGAGCUCAGGAUGAGCCGGGCACAUGGCAGACACCAUCUCGAAGGAGAAGAGAAAGCAGCACCAACUCAUUAGCAUCGAGAGUGGGGAGAAGCCUGUGAAGAGCUGCCUGAGGCCGCUGUGGAAACUGCAUCGUUGCUGAGAGAGAUGGUGGAAGGGCCGAGACGGGACGGCAACACCAGGCGGACAGAGGUGCUGCUUUCAGUAGACGGUCUGCAGCUCCCCGUCCAGAGGGAGACUCCAUGGGCUUGAGAGCACAUGCUGUGUAUGUGGUCUUACAGACCCUGACGUGCACCUGGGAGCCAGUCCUGCCUAAGAACACAGCGCAGGAGCCCAUCAGCAGACAUGAGGACCUGGUGUGAAGCCUCUGCGGCAUGCGCAGGUGGACACAGACCCUCACACACAUGCUGGUCAGAGUUCGUGGUCUGCCUAGGUGGACUGCCUAUGGACACAUGGGUGUUUGAUCUAGAGAAAAGGACCCUUUGCAGACUUGAGCUCACCUGUGCACAGAGAUGUUUCUGGCAGGGCAAAGCCUCAUGCAAGAGCCAAGGCAGGAGCAUUCCUCCGACACCCGGAGCAGGCCCUUCACCCCACUUUGAGGGCAGGAUGUUCUUCCACAACUAUCUGAAGCACCAUCUGAAGAAUGAGAGUGGCAGACUUGACUUGGUUAAGAUGAAUAUGACAUUGAGAGAGAGAGUAUUUGCACAAUACAUCUGAGAGGACUUAUGUCCACGCUAUGUAAAGACCUCUUCCAAAUCAAGAAAAAGGCAGCCUUAGGUACAUCCCUAAAGAGGAUUUCCAAAUGACAGAUAAGCAUGUGAAUGUACACUCAACACACUACUCAGCAGAAAAAUGGAAAGCAAACCAUAACAGAGUAUUGUUACACACAAACUCUCAUCCACCAAAACAAGAGUGUAGUAAGCAUACCUGAGAGGGCCUGCUGUUGGCAGGCCCGUGGGGCAGCUGGAGGUCUGUGCUCUGCUGGUGACUGUGGAUUGUUUGUUCCUGCUCAGGAACAUAGAAUGUCUGUGAAGUCCAGCAUUUUCCUACCUGUGAUCUUGUAGUUCUACCCAAAGGAGGUGCAUAUAUGUGUUCCCUGAAAGGCACAUGUAAGAACACUCAUAGCAACACCCCUGCAGGACCCCGAACCUGGUGCCCAGAGGAGACAAGUGAUCUGUGCUGGGCUCACACAGGAGGAGACUCACGUGCUGUGGAGUUAAGGUCUGGCCAGAGGAAUGCCUGGCACCAAGCACCAGGGGCCUGGGUAGCCGUCAUGAGGAGGAUGCCUUGGUGCCGGCUGAGCCCUGGCUGGACAGUGUCUCCCUCAUGUGUUUCUGGACUGGACACUUGGCACGUGUGCCCUGGACUGCAGAUUCACUGCUUGAUGGCAAUUUCUGUUAAUGAGGAAGGAAUGGGCAGCAGCAUUUCUGAGAAAUUGUGGAGGCUUAGAUUAUUUCCAGGAAUUGUGCAAACCAUAAAUAGUGAGAUGACAUGUGACCCUGUUCAACCAGGGGCUUGUUGCCAGGUUGGUGCUGUAGACUUGGGGCACCUGAGCAGCGAGCUUCCUGUGAGGAGCCACUCAGCCUGACUGGAGUUGGCCACCUCAGCGUGGUCGGAUGUGGGCUCUAACUGGUCAGUUUCAGUGAGCAGAGCUGAGACUGUUGAGGGUGGGGGCAAGCCACAAUGGUGGGUCAUCUUUCUUGAGACCCUGGGCCUGCUCGGCCUUGCUGUCUGCCAGAACAUGGUCCCCAGGCCAGACGGUCAAAACGCUCUGUUUCCAUGCUUGCGGGAGUCCCUUGGCUUCCGUCUGAGGUCUGGGGCACCAGGCAGAGUUGCUGUGUCUUGCUGCCCUGGCCCCCCUUUUGUUUAAUAUGGGUUUGGGGGCAGGAUUGCUACAGUUUUGAUAGCCUCCAGAGACUUCCAUUUGGAGGAAUUGCUGACCAGUUGUGGGGGCCCUUCCCACAGGAGUGGACCUGGUGUGAAGGCCCUGCCGCGUGUGCAGGGUCUCCUGCCCUCCAUGACUGGAGGAUUGGAGGAUUGAGAAAGAGCCUCAUUUCCCAGAAACUAAGCCCUGGGUGCUGCCCUGGGUCUGCACCAUCAUGCUCCUUUUUCCCCAGGGGAGGGUGGGCAGGGCCCCUACAAGCAUCAUCGUCCCCAAACAAAUACCCCUUGAGCUUGGUCUCCUUCGUGAGAAAAUGUGCAGUCCCUUUUCCAGUGGCACUUUGUAGCACCUCCUUCUGCCCAGCAUGGGCUGGCCCUGGGCCUGAAGGCGAGUGGGGCCACCAUUGUUGGUCUCUGAGCUGGAGUCACCGCAGUAGCCUGUGUGCUCUAUACCCCCAGCACCUGCCCCCAAAUCCCUAAUCCAUUUUCGGCUGGCUUUGAGCUACAGACCCAAAUUGGGCCUCUGUGGGCAGCACAGAGGAGCUUUGCCAGACUUGCAGGGUGUGCUGAGGGGUCCAGCCAGCCCCCUCCCUGUCCUGUGUCGGGUCUUGCUGGGAGGCUUGGCGGCCUGCAGGGUCAGCUCUGCCCCACCACAGCCCUCCGCAUCUCCUAGCGCCACCUCCUUCACGCAGUGGGGCAGCCAGCCAAGGCACCAUUCCUGGUGGCCUGCAGGGGUGGCCCAUACAGCCACUCUGCUCUCAGCUUGUGGGGGCUUCCCCUGAAACCCAGACUUGGAAAACCAAACAUCCCGAGAGGCCCUGGGCACCCAGUGUGUCUGAGGCGGUCGUGUGGCCUGCUUCCUAGAGCUUUGCCAAGGAAGUGGGCGUUCUCCCUUCCAGCUCUUCCGGGCCAGGUCGCCGUGGAGUGCCGGAGGUGUGCUAGGUGCACCUCUGGAGUCCUCUGUGUGCUGGGAGCUUUUGGAAGUGUUGAGUGGGCCAGGCCUCCCUCAGCUGGGCUCUGCUUUAGGGCCUGUUGCUCCAGGGGUCUGAGUGGCUAACGUCCCUGACUCGGCACCAGGAAUGGCACGGGUCUUCCUUGUCUCCCAUGGAGAGUCAGAAGUGCCACCUCCUGGUCCUGGCCUUCCCCGUGCUCCGGCCCUUGCUCAUGGGUCUUUCCUCUCAAGGUGCUUCUGGGUGCAGUGCUGUCAGCUUUGUGUCCUAGAAGUGGAGACCAGGGCUCAGAGAAGUGAGGCCCUUGCCCAGGCUGGCAUAGCCAAGAGGCCUCCCGUGAGUCAGGAGACUCCGAUGUCUGUGGGUCCCUAUGGGCAUAGUCUUGUGCUCAGCAGGCAGAAUGGCCACGUGGCCAGUGCCUGGUGAGCGCAGAUUGUGGGCUGGGGGUGCGGGAGCGUGGUUGUUCCCACUGGACAAAUGGGAGCCCCAGGGCCCAGACAAUGUCUGUGACUUGCUGGACCUCACAACAGGUGCCAGUGCCACACAGGACUUGGGCCAGGGUUUUCCGAGAGCACCCUGAAAGCUCUGGAGGGGGCUGUGGCCGCAGGAGGAGGCGCGGUGCAGGCUCUGGCGCAGGGCCAACACCCCUCCCGCACCCGCUGCCAGGCACUGCUCACUUCCUCCCACCCACACGGGAAGGGGAGGUGAUAAUUAUUGCCCUGGACGAGUAGCGCUUGUCGACAGAUUUUUUAGAUCUUUUAUUUUAUAUUCAUCUAUCUGCAUAUUUAUUUAUUUAAAGGCCUCUGCUGACUCCCUCCUGUCGGUGUGGCGCAUGGGAAGGAGGACCGGCCAGGUGCUCCACCCCGCCCCACUCUUCAGGAGAGUCACCACACUCAACCUGUGGGUUGUGAGGAGGUGGGAGAAAGAGUGCCUUGGCCUUCUGAAGGCCUGGGGUGGCCAUUGUCCUUCCUGCAGCUCUGUCACUUCCAGAGGCCUUAGGCACUGGUGCAGGGGCCACCCUGAUGCCCAGCCCUGGACCGGCUGCACGAGUGCACAGCGGUCAGAGACCUGCCAGGGGCUCCUCCCCAGGGCGCGCUGGACCCAGCAUGGGCUACCCCGUCCCCCCAGAAGAGAGCCAGGAGAAGACACAAGGCAGGGUGGAACUCCCUUCACACUGGGUUCUGGGGCCUGUCUUCUAGCCCUGAGCCGUGGUCCUGUCCCCACCUGCUGACAGGGGCCCUCCUCCAUGGCUCAGCACACUGGGCAUCCCGCAGGUGGCCAUAGCAGACUCUGGGUCCUUCCUACUGUGUCUUCUAGACCUCAGACUGGGCUGCCCUCAGAGAAGUGUUGCUGGGGAGGCCAGAGGGGUACAGUGACUGCCACACAGGAGGUGCAGGUCACGAUGUAACUUCCAUGGAGUCCAAUAGCUACUCCCCCUGGCAUGAGUUGACCAGAACCUGCAUGUGACCACCUUGACCUUCAGCAUGGUGGUCUUUGUUUCAGACAGAUAUCAGAAUCCUACAGGGUCAUAGAACAUGAGUGAGCGUGGCUUUGCAGGUGACAGAGGGGAGGGUACUAGAGCCUGUCGCAGUGGAAGUGGGGGGGAGGGCAGGUUCCAGGCAUGGAUUCGCCAGCUGCCGACACUCCUGGAGAGCCCAGCAGGAGUUCUGGGCUGGGAUUGCAGCCCUGCCCUAUGUUGUCCCUGUGUCCUAUGCUGAUUGGUGUCUGAGGAGCUGCCUUGGCAGGACAGUGCGUGAUCUGAGUGGGUCCAUCCCAGGGGAAAUGGGGAGGAGGCAGAGGCCCACCUGGGAUGCCCACACCCAGUCAUUUCCACACUGGCUACCCUAUGUCCUGUCCCAGGACAACGGCCAGGGACAGGGACCAGCCAUUGUUCAGGGCCAGGUCCCAGAGAAGCUGGCCACACUCUGCCCACACUGUUGCCCUUGGGCCCUGCAGCAAAGGCAGAUGCACCAAGCUGGCUAGGCUUGUCAGAAGGGGUCCUUUCCCAGGGUGGGAGAGGACUUUGUGCCCUCCACAGAAGCUCAGAGAGACCAAGUCCAAGUCCUUGGGGACAGAGGGGCUGGACUCUGUAGCUGGGGAACUCUUUCUCAUCCUGAUCAGUGCAGAGGCUCAGAUGGAGGCCUGGUGACUGCCCUUCCCACCCCGCUCCCACGGAAAGCCCGGAAGUGUUCCUAGAUUGUUCCAGCAGAGAAAAUGUGGUUAGUUGAAGGGAAAGGCACCAUUUUCUUGAUUUCAAAAUUUGGUGGAUUAAAAAAAUCAAUAGAGAAUAAAGGCAAGUUGAGAAAACCCCUGAAGCCCUCCCCCUGGUCCCUCAGCUGGGGUCCCGGGGUGGGGUCUGUGCCCUGUUUGUGUGGUGUCCUGGCAGUUCCUCUCUGAGCAUCAGUCUUCAGUGGUCCUGUCCUGCAGCUGGACACUGGGUCUGCAUGGGCUCCACAGCCCCAGACAAGAGGGUGGACUUCGUGUUCAUGUGCACAGGGCUUAUUUUCUCUGGCCACAAUGGUGGCCCCGGAAGCUGGGAAGUCACAAUGUUUUGUGUCCAAGCUCUGCAUCUGGGCCUGGGAUGCAGCCCUCCUGGCUGUGGUGUGGCUGUGGAGUGGGGCCUCGCGGAGACUCCCUCAGUCCUGGCCCUGGCUCAGUCAGAGUCUGACUCCAGUGGCUCUGGAGUUGUCGAGCCGAGGCCUGCUGCCUGCAGUCCCUUCUGGUCUUGAGCUGAGGCAGCCUACAGGGGCCAGGGACUGUGGGGAGAAGCCCAGGUCCUGGGCACGGGGUAAGCAAGAGUCCGUGAGUGACAACAGGGCCUGUGUCUGUCAUCAGCAGAGUCCCCAGUCCCCCUUUGUGGAGCUGGCUGAUGAUGAGAAGAUCUUUAACGGCGGCGACAACACGUGGCAGGGCCAGGAGCAGGCUCUGCUUCCAGACGUCACCGAGGAGGACUUGGAGGCCAUCCGGCUGCGAGAGGAAGCCAUCCUGCAGGUGGAGGUGGGUCUCUGCGAGGGUAGUGUGGGUGUCCAGGCUCACCCCAGGCUCCCUGCCCACAGAGGUGGCUGGGGCUGCAGUCACUGGUAGCCUGGGUGGGAGGUGGGGCCAGAGUCCAGGCAGCCAAGCCCACUUCCUCCUCCUGGCCUUGGUGGGAGCCAGCCCUGCACUGGGGCUGUGAAGGCACCACCCACUGCUUGCUGUGCUGCCCAUUCAGGCUUCCAGGAGGUCCCUAGCACUGUGGAAGGAACCUUGCUGCCUGGGGCCCCCGAUGGCAGUUUUUGAGAGCUCUAGCCCUCUGUCCAGGAUAGCCUGUGGCUGAGGAUGCUGCCCCAGGUGGCAGGGGAGCCCAGGGCCCAUGCAGGGUGGGUCAGCUGCUGCGUGCCCUUGGUUUUUGAAGACCAAGGACUCUUGGCUGGCCUACCCGAUGCUGAAGUGUGUGCAGAAUGCAGCUUGGCAGGGUGUGGCUCCACUGGGCCUAGGUCUGUGCCCAGUGUGCUCUCCUCCCUCUCCUGGGACUUCCUUGUCUGCAGGGGCUCUGGGGCCUGCAGCUCCCAGGGGCUGGGCUUCUGAAGUUCAAGGCCCCUGAGAGCAGGUGGUAGAACAGGAACCUGGGCGAGUUAGUAAGCCAAGUCACUGGCCCAGGCCUGUCUCUGCCUCUGCUUCCCUGACGGUUAGCAGGGCUUUCUCUCUCCUUCCAGAGACACCCCAAGUGGCCCUGGCUUGUUCCCCUUUCUUCCUGGGCCCUCACUUCUGGGCUACUCCUCCCUGCCUCUGCUGCACCCCACUCCCCAGGCUGGUGGAGGAGAGCUUAUGUCCCAGGACCCCUGCUGAAUGUGUCCUUCCUGCAGAAGCCGUCCCCCACUCCAGCUUCUCAGAGAGGGUCGCUGCCUGCCCCAGCCUGGCCCUGGUGGGAGAUAGCUGGGCUUAUCUCUGGCUAGAUGGAGAUGUCCGGAGAACACUGAACACCCGCAGGGGAUUUUGUCUCUGCUGGAACCGCAAGGGCCUCUUACCCUGGAGGAGCUAAGAUAGGGAUGCGGGGUCCCAGAAAGUCUGGGAGGGUUGUGGGCCUGCCCCCGGCAGCUCUAAAACCCAACACCUAUCCGAGGACAGCCCUUGGGAACCACUGGCUUAGCUUGUCCCUUGAGCACAGAGUGGCUCUCAGAAGGCGGAGGGAGCAGGGAGACACCGCCAGCUGCUGAGUCCAGGGAGCAGAGCCGGAAGGAGCAGCAUGUGCUGCCACAGGUUCCACGGCCCCCACGGAGACCCCUGGGGUGUGGAGCCAUACCAGGCAGCCGAAGCUGAGCUCAGGGAAGGGUGGCCCUGGGCCAUGGGCCUCCUGGACCUGACAGCAGAGGCGAAGAGGCGGGUCGUGGGAGCUGCUGUUGCCCUUUCACUGGGAGGCCUCAUCCCGAGCCUGCAGGUCCUGCUCCCAGAGCCCGAGCAGAGGCCUAAGGGCCACCUGGGACCUGUGUGACCUUUUUUGAUUGCUCUGGGUGGACAGUGACAGUCAAGUGGCUCAUGCCACUGCAGUAACCCCAGGGUCAGGUUCAAAAUCAGAGGCCUUGGCGGCCCAUGUGCCAGGCCCUUCUCUGUGGGACGGGAUGUGUUUUCCGGUUUUGUAGGGUGUGUGCAGAAUGGGGCUUUCCCAGGGGUGACGGGCCCAGCUGAGAGAUGGAGGGACCCAGCCUGGGGCUCUGAGCUGGGGCUCUGGACUGUUCUAGAACAAUGGUUUUAAUGCAGGAUUAAUAGGAGGGUCUGGGCCUGUGUGCAGACCAGAGGCCCUCGCGGGUGGCUGGGGCUGGUAUGAUCCCAGUGCCUCUCUCAGCUCAACAGCAUGCUGGGGCUCAGCUGGGGAGCCUCUUGCACAGACCUCGCCUUUCAGCCUCAGUUUCCUCCGCAAUGCCUAGGAGCCUGGCCCAGCACACAGCUAGUCCCGAGUGCCGGGCAGAAGGGCAGUGGGUGGCAUGUGUCAUGCGGACCACGGUCACUCACAGAGAGCACAAUACCUGUUGUCAUUAGCCUUUGAAAACCUUCCCCCAGGUUGCAGUGGGUCCUGUGACCACAGCUUGCUGGGAUCAGGGAGGGUGGGAGCCAGCCAGCCAGCCUCUAGGGAGUAAUGUGACUGUAGCAGAUGGCCCACACCUUGGGGGCCCCAUGGGCCAGUUGCUCUGGAGUUAUGGCAAAGCAAGGCCUGUGUGCGCAGGGGGGUGCCUGGGAGCAGCCUCAGGAGGGCAGAGUGGUGCCUUCCUCUCCCUGCACAGCGUACUUCCACUGGAGUUGGGACUCCCCCCUUUCACAUCCCCUGGGGGUUUGGGAACAUUUUGGAAUCACUGACUGAGACUUGAGGUCCAGGAGCCCCUUUGUGGUCUUCCCUUCAGAACUGACCUUUUUGGGUAAACAUGGGGGUGUGGAUGGGGAGACUGAGGCUAGGGUGGAUGACUGAUGUCGCAACAGUGGGUUAUUGUGUCAGAUGCCCUCAUGCCACCACCUUGCUUUAAGGUAAGUCCUUGAGGGCAGGCCACAAAGGGAUGCCUGAACCCCAAGUCCCACCUCUAGAGAUCUGAAGGUAGUCAUGCAAAUUCCAGAGCCCCUCGGGGAUGUGGGAGGGUUCUGGGUGAGUGGUUGAUGAGAAGUCCUGGAUUGGGCCUGGCGCCGGGCACUGUGAGGGGGUGUGCAGAGCUGUCUGUGCUGGGAGCCCCCAUUCAGUCAAUUGGUGGCCCACCUUGUAUCCUUUCCCUCGUCCCCCUCCCCAGAAUCGUCCUGCAGGGCUUGGCGUGUAUGCCUGGCCUCAGGCUAGAUCCUCCCAGCAAGCCAGGGAGCCUCUUUGUUUUCAUUUGUUUGUUAAAUAUUAUUGUUAAAUAUUAUUAAACUUAAAAAAAUAAGUUUAUAUUUAAAGAAAAGCUGCAAAAUAGCGCAUUAAGGACCUGGACUUUCAUUCAGCUUUUCUUAGUGUUGUACUGUAGUAUAGCUAUCAAAACCAGCCGGUUAAUGUUGCCACCAUGGUCCAACUACUCCCCAGACUGUCUCCAGGUCCCCUGGUUCUCCCACUUAAGAGUUGUCUCCUGUUCCAGGACCCAGUCCAGAGUUCCUGUUACAUUGAUUCGUCCCGUCUCUGGUCUCCUCCAGUCUAUUACAGUUCCUGGGUCUGUCUUUCAUGACUGAAGCUCUUGAUGGUGCUGAUGAGUAGUUUUGUAGGCUGGCCCUCUUGGAGACGACACAUUCUUUGCAAGAGCCUUUCUCUCCUUCUUGUACAACAGUGGACUUAAGAAAAACAUUAAAACAGUGCUGGACUCAGGCAGAGUCCACCCAGUGCAGGAAGAGACUCGGACCCAGGCAAGAGCCCUGCCGUACCUGGGUGUUCACAACCUGCUCACCUGCUUGGCCUACGAGCUGUGCCUGGCCUUCUCCUUGUGACUGAGGCCUCUUCUAAACAGGCCCCUGUCCAGCUGGGUAAGCAGGAGUAGGCUAGGGCACCACUUAUCCACCCUGCAUGCAGCUCCUCGAGAGAGAAUGUCAUCCACUUCCCAUGACGGGGGCUACGAGGUGGAACCCAGUUUGACCCCUGACCUGGAGGCCUGUCUCUGGAGGACGCAGUACCCAGCAUUUGAACCUCUACCCCAGGCUGUCUGCCUUUUCCUAGGCAAGGCAUAGGCACCUGGGUGUUGGGCCAGGCAUGCCCCAGGGCCCUGUACUACACCCACUGCUUGCCUGUUCCUACCUUUAGACUCUUAUGAUCUGAGGCAGCCUAUCUCUGGUCUCCUACCCUAGGGUGCCUCUCUGGAUUUGGUCCCAGGAGGGAGCCCCACCCUCCCAGGACCUAGGGUAUUGGAUGCUGGCAGCUCCCGGCCUCCUGGCUAUCAGCCUGGCUGAACUGUGAAGAUGGAGAAGCUGUCCAUCUCAUUAUCAAGAGCAUGAACUUUAAUUGUGUUUGAGCAGCGCGAGGCCAGGUGUGGAAGAAGAGGAAGCAAGAUCGAUGGACCAUGGCGAGAGGUGUCUGAGUACCCAAUUAGGUCAUGUCCAGGAUUUGCUGUCCCUCUCCAGGGUGGGCAGCCUUGUCCCCAGGGUUGUCUUCUGCCCUGGCAUUCUGGAUUCUGUCUGUCUACUCAGGCCUGUCCAAGAGCUCCACAGCUGAGGGACUCUGUGCAUGCUGCUGACCAGCCCACCUCUUUUUGCUCAGCCAGAAGUGAGUUUGUGCCCAGGGUGGCCAUCUCCACCCUCUGAGGCCUGGCCUGAAGACCCCAAGAGGAGGUGGGGGGCCUGCAGCCACACAGUAAGGCCCCUGGCAAGUGGUGGCAAGUCAAGACUCCGACAUCCUCAUGCCACUCCUUCCUUAUCCCUCUCUGAGUCCUGGCUUCCUAGUUGUGCUGGAUGAGACCGUGGAUUCAACGGGCUGUGAGGCGUUCUGCAAAUGGACAUCCCUGUGGCAAGGGUGAAUGGCUUUGGGAACCUCUCUGUUGUCCCGGUUGCUAAUGCUGAACCUGGUUGGUCCUGAAGCACUGCCCUUCUCAGCCCUGCGGGGGCCCCCAACACCCCUGGCUCUUGUGUCUCCUUCCUGUAGGGCCUUGCCUCUUCUCUGCUCUCCCUCUGGCCAUCCCCUCAGUUCUCUGAGGACCCGUGUGGCUCUCGGUCCUGUCUGGUCCCUGGAGUCAUUCAGUCCUCCCUCCUAUCCCCUCCUGUGGCUCCUCUGGGUGGGUGGCCCACCCCUGUCCCCCAGGUGGGCCCUGAAUGACCUUUCCCUGUUUGGCCAAGAUGUGAUAGGGUGGCUGUCACUGCAAAGGAAACCCAGUGCCAGGACUCAGCCAACAUGCACGUUCCUUCUUGCCCUUUAGUCCAGCCUCCCACCUGCUGAGGAGCCCCAUGGAACUGAAUUGUGCUAAAACUCAGUGGCAUGAAAAAGCCACCAUGGAGUUCAACAUCAGGAUGUAGACACAGCUCAUUGGGGUUGGGUAGUAUCUACUCUGCUGUCUGGAGCCUCCAGUGGGAAGACUUGAGAGGCCAAGGGUGACUUGGACAGCUGGAGGCUGAAGACUCUUCCACUCUGCCUCUGAUAACGUGGGCUGGGAUGUCUCAGGCCAGGCUCAGCUGCACUGUUCAUUGGAUUGUCUCCAUCUGGCCACUUUGCACAGCUUGGGCUUUCCCACAACGUGGCCGCCCCACGUGCUCAGACUUCUCGUGUGGCCCUUCAGUUCUUCUUGUGUGUGUUGCAGUCAUGGAAGGUACACAGUGUCACUUCCCUUGGUGCUUUGUAGUUAAGUGAUCGAAACCUGCCUGGUUCAAGGGGAGGGACCUGGGUCCCACCACCAGUGACAGAAGCAUCCAGGGAUCCAAGGCCAUGGUUUAAGCCCCCCAAGGACCUUAGAAUAAUCUGGUCCCUGUGCUGGUUACAGUGGUCAAAAUUGCUUGCCUCAAAAUUUAGGGAUGAAAUCUGGUUACUGUGCUUGCAGGCUCAGUGAGUCAGGAUUGCAGCAGGGCCAAGCCACAGCUUCUCUGCACCUUGAAGCCUUGAGGUAAGGCUUGAACCCAUGGCGACUGGUUCUAGCCCCUCCAGCAUCCUGGCCCUGCUGCCUGUUGGUGGAGGUUGACCUGGGGUCUCGGCAGGACUCCAUACCAGUCUCUUCUAGUGUCGUGUUUCGGGAUCACGUCUUGACAAGGAGCCAGCCCUGUUUUGUUUUCUGGCCUUGCAGAUUGUGCAGCAUCUCUGCCAGGUUCUGUCUGUCCAGGACCAGGAGAUGGACCAUCAUCCCCAGUUGGCAAGCCAUGCCAGUGUCACUUUGCAGGACGAGUGAGUGGGUGGUUCGUAUCACUGUCUCUGGGAGAUGCAGCCCUCUGUGCUUGUCCCCCAGCAGCCUGGCCUCCUCCUGGCCCUGGGACCUGCUGGACCUGCUUCCACCCUUUGCACUUGACCCUUGGCCUGAAGCCUUGCUCCGUACACUGGAGCAGCUCCCUUCACCAGUGGGCUCAGACUAGAGUGCUGCCCGCCUCCGGAGCCCACCCUCCUGAGCUCUGUGGGACGUUCUUUGAUUGCCUGGGUACUAUUACUGCCUUUUGUUGGAGCAUAAGCCCCAUGGAGUCUGCAGUUUGGCAUUUCUGGUUAUUGUUUUCCUGGCACGGCAGAGGAUCCUGACACCAGGGGUGCCAGUGACCAUUUGUGUGGAAACAUGCAGGUGGGUGGAGGUCUGAGUGCCAGGUAGGUAGGUGAGGGUGUCUGUGGGAACUCUGGGAGUGGGUGCUGCUGCUGCUGUGGGCACAGCUUGGGCCCACACAAGACCCCUGGGGGUGGGUGUGCAGGGGCUGAGGUUAGCAAAGGAGGAGCAGAGGCUCAGGGGUCACAGCUCAUGUGUGGACGAGCUCACGGGACUCUCGGCCAGUUGGCCUGGCUUCAGAACAGGGCUGUGCCGCUGCGAUGCUCUCACAGCUGCCUCGUGGUUAGUCCCAUUUCAGAGGAGGAAAGAGCCAGCCCACGAGGCCAGCCACCCCUAUGGUGUGACUUGACCCCUGGCCACAGGUGCUGCACCAGUCUGCAGGAUAGCAGACUCUGACUUGUCCCUGGGCCAUGAGGUUGAAGAGAUGGACACGUGGCCCUGGGCCACUGCGCAUAUGUGACAGCCCUGUGGCACUGUCCAGCUCCCUGGCCUCUGCCCAGCCUACUCUGCCCACUGGCCAGAUGCUGCAUGUGCUGCGUCCCCUCACCUUGCCCGUCUCACCUGCUGGAGUGUCCUAGCUGUCCUGUCACCCAGCUCAGGUGCAGGCGCUGAGCAUAAUACCAGCAGCAUGUUGCCGUGGCUACCUGGCAGGCCCAGGAGGGCGGAGGACCAGAUGAGGAGGCUGCCUAGAGCCCCAGCCGCCCUCCCUGCACUGGGCGCACACAGCUGGUGGCAGGGGUGUGAUUGGUGUGGCUACUGUCAGCUAUGGGUAGGUGAAUAAAAUAAGUAAACAGAAUUUGACUAUUCCGUUAAGUGCAAUUGUGGGUCGAUGGUGCCAGGAUUCUAACUGAGGAGAGAGUAUGUGAUUGAGACAAGUGCAGUGGUGUUCUCUUGUCCGUAAAAGCAGAGGAAACAUACCACACGUGUGUGCAUGAGCACACACAACACACAUAUGCCGAGGUUUUAUUAUGUCCGUGUGAGGUGGCUCCGUGGUAGCAGUGAGGGGAGAUUCUAUGAGAGCACUCAGGAGUUCUGGGUUUAGAGGAAUCAUGAUUCCAGCCUUUACCAAGUGCUGGUGUUGGCCAGUUUCCCAUGGCCUCCUGCCUCCAGCUGCCUGUGUCAGCAUGUGCAGCUACAGCACCUGGCCGCUAAUCCUGCCCUGGGCCUGCUUGAUGCCCCAGAGGGCUCCCUCCUGGGCAGCCCCUGAUCCAGGUGGGAGGGUGUUAGGGCUUGUAGGUCCCUUGUCCUUAGGCCCAGUAUCGACCUGUGUCACUCCAGACCUCAAGGCAGACUUCUGCCUGGGAAUGGCUCCCACCCUGUCUCCAGGUGUAUGUGGGGGCUGGGCCUCACUGGGAUCUGCCCAAUGCCCAUGUGGUGAUGGCAAUCAGGGGGAUCCCUUCUGGACCAGCUGCCCACCUCAGAUCGCCCUGGCACCAUGGGCCCACUAGAGACGCACGGUCUAGGUCCCACCUGCCUGGUUCUGCUAUCACUGCAGGUCCAUUUGGGGCCCCUCAUCCCUCUGUUUCGCACAUGGCAUUGGGUGCUGGAGGGGGAGACGUAGCUGGGAAGCCAUGCCUUAUUCCUGGAGAAGGGGAUGAAAGCAAAUGUUCACCUUCCUGAGGGAGCUCCUGCAGAGGGCCUGGGGCCUCGGGGCACCCAGGGCCACAGGGGCUGUCUUCAGGGCACGGGUGCCCAUUCCUGUUCAUCCUGGAGGCCAGAUGGGGCUCCUCCGAGAGCUCGUGUGGCUGGGUUCACCUGUGCUCUGAGCAGCACCAGGAGAUCCCCACAGCCACGGUGGUGUCCUGGCCUCCUGGAGGUGGCCUGGGUUGCAGGCCUCACGUGGGGACAAGGGACAAGGAGGGGUCUGUGGCCUCAGGCUCACCAUGCCGUGCCUGCAGGCCUCUCUGUGUCAGUGGAGGUGGGACCUGAGGCGCCCCGGCUGCUCUGCUGGCCCCAGGGCAGAACCGAGGUUUCCUUUUGUCCAAGAUGGUUGGUGUGCAUUGAUCAGGGAGCCCCACGGAGGGUCUGAGCAGUGUGAGCAGGCCUUCUGUGUCCCAUAGAGAAGGCGGGGGACGUGGGACUGGCCUUGCUCCUGCACCCGCCGCUGCCCUGCCUGCUGAGCAGCAUGGUGAGGAGAAGGGAGCCCGGGAGGAAGGGGCUCUUCCUGUGAAAGCUCACGUGGGACUCCAGGCCGGCCAGUAGAACAUCUGGUGUGGCCCUGACGGCAGGGGUCAGAGCCCUUGCUGGGGCAGUCUUGGUCACUCUUCUGGAAGCCACUGCCUUCUCGCAGUCUGUGUCCCCCGCACCAGCCCUGGGUGUCUGUGUGUGUCCCCGCACUACUGUGGUACAAAUUAACUUCCCAUGUGUCCGAGCUCAUGCCAGUGGACAGUUGUCACUGUUCCCAUGCCCCUUUCUGCUGAGUUCAGCAGGAAUAGACUGAGUCCUUUGCUGUGCCUGUCCUCUGUCCUCUGUGACAGAGCUUGCUGGGGCCCUGACAGGUGCUGUGUGUGUGGUUAGUUGGGCCCGUGGGGACCUGGCUGGGGCACCCACAGCCCGUGAUAGACAGCGAUGGCCAGGCAGUGGCAGCCAACAUGCAGCCAGACCUAGCCACAGCUGAGGGCACCCCGGGCUGUGCAGAAGGCCCACAGCAGCCGCAGCACACCCACUGUGAACUGGAGAGCAGCCUCAGCCACCCCACCUCCAGUGAGCUCACGACCCACAGCGAAAGCCCUUGUGCCCUGUUGGUGCGUCAGGGGUUGGACCCGAGGACGCCCAAGCUCGUCCCCCCUGCUGAAGGAGUCGGUGCUCCCAGGCAGAGAACAGCUAGUGCAGUGAGCAUGUGGAGCUGUGGGGAGAAGCAGGCUGGGCUGCGGGAAGGACAGCUGCUCUGCUUCCACCUGCCAGUAGCCUGGGCCUCCUGGGCCGUGGGGUCCCUAGGCCUGUGGUCCUGCCCUUGAUUCUCCUCCCUGCCCCUGAUUUUCUCCAUGUCCCCUCACUAAGGCUGGGGCCUAUAGGCUGGGCAGGGGCUCUGAGCCCUACCUCCUGCAGGACAGCCCGGCACCCUGAUACCAGUGACCCUCUGCAGCUCCUGCUCGUGGAAAGAAGCGCUCGUGCGUGCACGUGAAGCCUGUCCCUUCUGGCCCCUGCACCAUGGGAAGUCCUGGGCACCGCCAGCUCCCUGUGGGUGACUGAUGUGUAGGUAGGGACUGGGCUUGGGUUGGCCUUGGGUUUGGGUGCUGGCUCUAGCAUUUCCUAGCUGUGUGUCCUAUGUAAGCUGCCCUCUGUGCGACAGCUUGCUCCCCUGCCCUCUCUGUGGAGUGAACUGCCUGGUGGGGAGAGGCGUGACUUGCAGCCUGUGGAGCCCAUAGGAAGGCCUCAGGAGUCUGCCACCCAGUGUAGCCAAGGCCGGGCUUGGGGCGCGGGCCUUGGCAUGGGCAGUGACCAGAGCCAGGCUUGGUGCUUGGCAGGGUCAGCGCCUGCUCUUUGAAAGAGCUGUGUCAGUAACCUGGAAAUCUGCGGAGGUGGGAUCAGUCUGCGGCCUGGCUGAACAAGGAGCCCUCAGCUUGACAUUGACGUCUCCAUCCUAGGCUGCACUCACAGCCAGGAACCCCAUUUCUAGAGCAUGUGGUUGUAAGGAGAAGCCUAGAAACUGUCUGGGUCUGGGGCUAGCCAGCACCAUCCUCCUGACUGGCACCCUCUGGGUGCCACAGACCCUAGCUGAGCCGAGAGCCCAGCCCCAUGCUCCUCAGCACCCUCCCGGCCAUGGCCAUUCCCACAGAGCAGCCACACACCCCUGCUCCAUAUUUAAGCCCAGUAAUUGAAUUGCAAUUGAUAGUACAUGUCGGUUUAAGAUCAUGCUAAUUGCUUCAUUUCCCAGAACACUCCUAAAAAGAAAAUGAAUUUCCCUGUAAUAUUUUCAGUGGGGUGAAAUGACCCUUGUGGAAAUCAAUCCUGGCUCUAGAAUGAGCUGCAGAGUGAGUGGGCGUGCUGGGGCGGGGCUGUGGCUCCCCUCCUGCAGCCUCAGCAGGCAUGAGGAGCUUUCCCGGCCUGAGAGUAAACCCAGCCUCGUGCCAGGCACCGUGUGAGGCUUAGCAGGGCUGUGCCUGUGUAGGCUCUGUGAGCUGGCCUGACUCGGAGGGGACUGGUCUCCCAGGGUCUCAGCACUGGCUAGAGGAGAAACUGUCCCUGUGUGAACGUCAUUCAGGAAUGGUGGGGUGUCCAGGAGUGGGCACAGGGGACAGAAUUCCUACCCGGAAAGGCCAGGGUGAUCCUGGGGCCUCUUGAGUCCCCCCUUCCUCCCUGUCCAUUGGGGCUAGGACUUCCCUUUUGGUUGGUGCCAGCUCAAAAGUGGCAGUGUGCACCCUUCUCUUGACACAGUCUGAUGUAAAAGGUCAUGGAGGUAUGGCCAUGUCCCUUACGAUCCUCAUGGCCACUUUGCUGGGCAGAAGUCAGGGUGAAGCCGGACAGUGUAAAGGAGGCAAAGGACCAGCGUAACAUGCAACAUGGAGGGACCAAGUCCUCUGGCCCUGGUGUCCACUCCCUUGCCCGGUUCUCCAGCUUCCCAGAGCCUCAGUGCUUGGAUGUCAAUGGGGCUGCCGCCCAUGGCCUACUCGACCUUCAUCCACCACCGGCCCACCUGCCCACCCAUCCUAUUCAUCUAUCCCACUCUGCCAAUUUGCUGAGCAGCACCUGUGUGUUGGCCCCUCCUUGAUACACAGAGGGGCAGGUGUGCUGUGUCCCAGGUGAGUGGGGAUGGGGUAUCCAUAGGAGUGCAGCCCUGCAGGUGGUGUGGCCAAAGUGCUCUGUGCUGGACACUUUCUGGCCUGCUUCUAUCAGGCUUCCACCAGUGUUGGGGAUAUGAUGUCCUGCACUAGACCACACGUGCCCAGGCAGACCCUGGUGCUCGUGCAUGCAUUGAGAAGCUUGUGGCACUGGGGUGCUUGGAGAGCUUGGGGCUUGGCCUGAGAGCAAGAUAGCGGAGCAUUCAGACUCUGCCCCACCUCUGACCUGGGGCAGCCUUGGCCUGAACUUACCUUUUCUGGGCCUGACUCUGCCCAUUCUGGGCCCAGAUUGCUCCUCUGACAGGAAGAGUACAGACCAACUGAUCACUAGUUCCCAUCUGGCCCAGGGCUCUCCAUAUACGGUGUCCUUAGUCUCUGUGCCUGUAGCACGCUGCCCCUAAUGCAGCUCCAUCCUGUUUCCUCAGAGCAAUUUGCUGGACGUGAACCAGAUCAUCAAGGACUUGGCCUCCAUGGCGUCGGAGCAAGGAGAUGCCGCUGGUGGGUACCCACUCUACCCUCAGGCCACGUAGCCCCAGCUGGCUCUUCCCCCAGGUGUGGGCACAGCUGCCUAAAGAUGACGGAGGCCCAGAAUGGCUUCUGCCUGGCUCUCCUCCUGCUCCACCUCUACCCUGGGCCUUGCACUGACUAGGGACUCUCUGGAGUGAAGGCCAGCUGCCUGGGACAGGUGACUGCAGCAUGGCCCUGAGGAUACGGAGGGUGGGGGCCUAGAGCCCCUUAGAGUCUGGUGCUGUCUCCAGUGACUGUCAGGAGCCAUGUGUGCCUCUGGGAAAUGGGUGUGCCUGAGCUGGGUGGAACAGGGGCAGUGGCUGGGCCUGCGGGCCUGGCCAGGGCAUGGUAUCCCCCAAACCCCUCACUCCAAAGGAACUGGGCCAGCUCUGCCAAUGGGUCAAAGGUCAAAGGCCCUUGUCCCUGGAGCUGCCCUGCUUCUCAGGAGGAAAUAAGAAGCAAGGCCAAGGCCGAGGCCCAGGCCUGUCCCUUGCUGGUGAGGGUUGCUGGGGUCGUGUGGAGCAGGGAGGCUUGAGGGUCAUGUCACAGUGUCCUCACCCACUGCGAGAGAGGGGCCUUCUCUAACAGAAGGGACACAGACCAGAGAGGCCUGGUGGCAUCCGCCCAGGCCCUCUGCUACCCCAGCCCUUCUGCUCUGCCUUGCUGUGGGGUCACCUUUGACCUCCCCAGAGAGGACCUCCCUGUCUUCCUCUGUGCUCCACAAGUUCUGGCCCCAGCAACUGGCCAUUUAUAUUUGGACAAUUUUUUUCGGGGUGGGGGGGGUACCACAGAUUGAAUUUAGGGCCCUCAACUACUGAGCCACGUCCCCAGCCCUAUUUUGUAUUUUAUUUAGAGACAGGGUCUCACUGAGUUGCUUAGCGCCUCGCCGUUGCUGAGGCUGACUUAGAACUUGCCAUCCUCCUGCUUCAGCCUCAUGAGCCGCUUGGAUUACAGGUGUGCACCACUGCACCUGGCACACUGGACAAUUUUAAGUGUUCAGACCUUCCUCUCCGCUGGGCUCUGUGCCUGCCUAGUUAGGUCUAGGGCAUUUUGAACAUGAAGUGGUUACUCUGAUCACUUUCCUUCUGGACUGAGCGAGGUGCUGGCUCCAUGGGUGGCCUCCUUGCUUGUGCAGAGCCCUGGGGGCACAGGGACACUGGUGUCAUUACCCAGUGUGGUAGAGGCCCUGUGCCCACCUGAUUUGGGGCUGGGGUGCACAGGUGGGGACUUUAAGGGCUUGCUCACAUGUGGGCCAUCCUGUUGCCCCAGGGGUGCCAGCCUUCUCCGUAGCUGCGGCCACCCAGAGUUCUGGCCCCAGCUGCAAGGUGGAGACGCCCUGGCCAGGGCAAUGGUCCCCUCGGCUUGGUUGCCCUCCAGGACCCAGACUCCUGCACUUACUCAUCUGCUUCUUCCAUCCCUGACAGCCAUCCCCUCACCCGGGCCUGUGCCUCUAACGAGGAGCAAGCGCCCCGAGCUGGGUGGGCCCUGGCACCCUUCUGGAGCUCUGCUGCUCCCAGGUCGGUGGAGGCCUGAGCCAGGAGCCUAAGCCUGGCAGCUGCCCUCCCUGUUGCUCCUGGACUCACCCUGUACCCCUUCAGAGCCUGGGCUCCCAGCAGGGCCUGCUCUGGGCAUGGCACUUGCUGAGCUGCCUCGUCACUGCUCCCAGGACCCGCCCUAUCCCUCUUCCCGUCUCCUUGCCUUCUGUCUGCCUCUAAAGUGGCCACCGCCCACUGCCCCCUGGGGCUGGCUGGCUGGGCUGGAAUGUCAGAGUGUGUACAAUGGCUUGUCCACCCUAAGGCCACCCAGUCCCCGUAAUGGACCCAUGGGAGAGCUGUGGGGAGCGGAACAAGCCAGGGCUGACCUGCACAUGGGCAGGGGAGUCACCUAGAUAGCUGGCAGGCAGGAGCUUCAAGAGUCGCCAGAUCCCCAACUGGUGGGUGUGGGUCACCUGUAUGUAGGACACUGAUGUGGGGACCUGUGAGGACCAGGACCACAGGCCUGGUGGCACGCUGUCCACAGUCUCUGCCUAGUGCUCAGCCUCUGGUGCCUUUCCAGGGUCCAGCAGCAGGAAGGCCACCAGCCGGCAGACCUCCAGCCCCGAGCCAGCAGAGGCAGCCCUGCUACCAGGGGUGGGGCUGGGCACCACACCCCUGCGGCCCAGCAGCCACUCCCGCACCAAGACACGCAAACCCAACUUCAGUCCCCAGGAGACAGAGGUGCUGGUGCGGAGGGUGGCACGCCACUACCCACUGCUGUUCGGGGCACUGCGGAGCACACCUGCUCGGAAGCACCACGUGUGGAGCAGGAUCCUACAGGCUGUGAAUGCGCUGGGCUACUGCCGCCGUGACCUGGGUGACCUCAAGCACAAAUGGAGGGACCUACGAGGGGCCGUGCGCAAGAAACUGGCAGAGAGUCCGGCUCCUGGAUUCAUCCUCACACCUGUGGAACGCAUGGUGGCUGAGACCUUCUCGACCCCAGCCUCCCAGGGCAAGAGCCAGGCAACAAGUAAGUGGGCCCCUCCCCACAGCCCACCCCUGGCCUAGCCUGGCCUGGCCUGGCCUGGGCAGUGAGCUGGCUGGCUUCCGGUGCACAGCCCCCAAAGAACGAGACUCCAGGGGAGUGCUGGGGGCCUGAGGAGACGGCUCAUCCCCCUCCCGGCCCCUCGGCUCCUGGGUAGGAAACCCAAGGCCCAGGCCCAGGCAGAGGCCUGCUCAUUUGGGGAGGAGGGGUCAGGUUCAUGCUGGCCCUGAGCUCACGGUCCACUGGGACUUUCCCCAGCCUUGGCAUAGUACAGCAAGGGGACCCUCAAAUCCAUCUCAAAAACUGAAGUCACUCAAAGCCCCUGGGUCUCAUGUGGCCUGGGGGGUCAGUGCCUUUGCCACCACCACUGGCGGCAGCAGCUUGGGGAGCUUAGACCUGCUGCUGGGCUCAGGGCUCCACGGCAGCUGCCACCUUGAGCCAUGGCCACAGCAGGGAGCUGAGUGCCUCCGUCCCUUCCCUGGUAUCUAGAGAGGACACUGGGGCCCCAUGGCCCCGUUUCCCCGUCACUCUAGAGAGACAAGUUCCAGGAUGGUGAAGGCAUCCCUUAGAUAUACAGGGCCCUACUCUGUGUAUCUAAGGGAGGUGCAAAGACUGAGGUCCAGGGGCCUGGCUGAGCAGCCCAGGCCCAAAGCCCAGGCACAGUCUCCGAGGCCCCGCUCCUCUCUGCCAUGUCUGCUGCGUCUGGUGUGGUGCGGCUGGGAGGCCUCUUUGGCCCCAGGCCAUUGUCCACUCUGUCUUCUCAGGAGUGCUCAUGACAAAGGUCAGGGCAGUGACUGUCCUUAGGCCACCAAGUGUUAAUAGCAGAGGAACCAAGCAAGGCAGCAAGCUUGGGUGGCCACAGGCUUGAAGAUGUGGCUGUGGCUGGGAGGAAGGAGGCUGCCCUGCAUAGCUCCCUCCUCCUCCAAGCUGGACCAGGCCUGGAGUGAGAGUGCCCAGGGUUGAUGCCAUCAGAUGGCAAGCCACCAGCAGGUGGAGGCUGCCUGGCCGGAGCCACGUCCAGCCACUAACCUUUGCUGUGCCUUUUGGUGUCAGAGGUGGCCUCUGUGUUGGUGAAUGCUGCUGGAGAAUUUGGCCAGAGCCAGGAGGAGCCCAGGCCAGUGCCUUCCCGCCUCAGCCUGCCUUGUCCGGGCCUGGGGAGCAGGACUGCGUGCCCUCCUCAGCAGGCCCUUCAGAAUCGCUCUGGUGCUCUUGGCCUCUCAGAGCGCUUCUUCUGCUGGGCUGCUCCAGGAACCACCUUUUCCAGAAGUCUCUGUUCUUGGCUGGGCCUGUCCUGCAGCCCACACUGCCUCUGAGCCCUCCCAUGAUGCGGGCUCGGGUGCUGUCUCCACUCUGCCUCCUCUGCUGCCCUCCUCCUCACCACCCUGCCUCACAGCCAGGCCUGCUGGACUCUCCUCCUGGGAAGCUCUGGAAGGACGUGGGGAUGGAGCCAGGAGUAAGAUGAGCCUUCUCAGGGUGGGGCAGCCAGCAGGACCCCACCUCAGACGGACCAGCAGGAGGUCCUGGGGGGACUCGGAGCCGUACCUGCUCUGAUCCUUCUCUUCUGUGGUGCCUGCAGCUGGGACACGUGGGCAAGGCCAGGCCUGGCUGGGAGACGUGUAGGUCCAGGACAGGUCUCGUGCUGGGCCUCAGGAUGCACAGGUCCUGAUAGGCCUGGGGAGGCCAGGGGUAUGGGACUAUUACCAUCCCCAGGGAGGCCUCGUGCCUUCUCCUUUAAGGCAGAGGCCUGCCGCUGUGUUCCUGAGGCAGGCUUGGGUGAUUCAGGCAAGGGUGUGCCCUGUGGGGCCUGGGUGUUCAGGUACUUUCUGCAAGUCCCCGACCUGGAGGGCAGCAGGAACGCUGGAGUAUACCCUGCAUCCCCUGCCCUGGGUGAGGCCCAGCCCAGCUUCCUUCAUCCCUGAUCGAUCAGCCGCAGCCCCUAUGGCCUUGUAGCCCUGGUUCUCCUAACGGAGGAGAAGCUUCUGUGGUGCCCAGGAACCUCUUGUGAGAUGGUCUGCAUGCCUCUGAUGUUUGUUGAAUGAAAUGACUGUGUGGGAGGAGCAGACUUGCCCUGAUAGGCACUGAGGCCAGAAGCAGGGAAGUAGCUGCAGGGCCGGCAGUGGGGUGGGAGUGCCCCCCGAUCAGUGCCAGCCUGGGGAAGCAGGACUCGUCCUCUCUUCAGCAGGCCCUGUCCAAGGGUAGCCUCUGGGGCUUAGACAGGGCCGGGCCUGGGGGCCUGGGGAAGUGAGCUGCCGAGCUCAUGGAUUUCCAGUUUCUGUGCUCCGAGGCUGCUGACAGGUGCACUUGCCCAGGGGCGCCUCCGGCUCUCUGCAUUUGUCCUGAGGGGUGGUUGGUGACCAGUGCCAUCUUCUUUAGCCCCUGGAGGCCUGCACAGCCCUUGGGCUUUUCAGAGGCUGUCUGAGGUAGAGCAAGUCCCACAUGCAGCGCCCUGUGCCAGGAGACAGGAGGGUGCCCUGUGGACCUGGAGCCUUCAAGGCAAGGCUUCUGAGCUGUCAGAGAGCCACCUGGCCAUGCCCCAUACAGCCUGGGGCUUAGGCAGGGCCGGGCCUGGGGGCCUGGGGAAGUGAGCCGCAGUUUCUGUGCUCCGGGGCUGUUGACAGGUGCUCUUGCCCAGGGGCGCCUCCAGCUGUCCUUCCUGCUUCCUUCUCUGGCUGCCCUCUGAUGUGACAGGACACUUUGAGUUUGGGGCAGCUGCAGCCUGCCCAGAAGAGGAAGAGGUGUGCUGCAGCCUUGUUGCCCCUUCCCUCCCCGUGCUGGGCUGUGUCCUGGAGACCUGUCGCCCUGUAGCCUGGCCUUGACUGGGUUGGAGGGUGGAGCAAAAGUAGAGACUGGGGGCUCAGGUCUGCCUGAGGCCUAGGGGUUUCUCAAAGGUAGGGCUCCAGGGAUGAGGCCGCCUUCUCUCAUAGAGCAGCCGCCCCCGCUGGAAGGCUGGGAGUCGCCGCUCCCUCUGCAGGCCCCAUGGGGCUGGGGGCACACGCUGCAGCGGCUCAAUGGCCCUCGGCCUCCUGGGCCAUAGGUGGGCCCUUUGCAGUGGGUGUCCGCUGCCUGAUUCCCGAGGCAGGCCUUCCGACCGCUGCCCCUCCCACAAGGACUUCACGUGUCUCAGGCGAGUGCCUGCCUCUGCUGGCCUCUGGGGCCUGCCGCACUGGGUGUUGACUGCCCUCUGCCCCUGUGUGGCCUGAGUUUGCCCAGUGGAGUCAGGACAACUGGACGUGCCUUCUGCCAUGUGGUGCUACUUCUUGGCCACUGCCUGGUGUAAAAUUUGUCCCCAGGACUGGGCCCAGGCCGUGCCUUCCCAAAGCCACUGGUCCCCAGCCAGCCCCAUGCUCUUUGAAUGGCCUUGUUGGAACCCAGCCACCGUAGAGUCCCACGUUCACAGCCCUGUCCUCUCAGCGGCACUGCAGGACCUGUCCCUGAGGGGGGCCAUGGCCAGAUGGGAGGCCGCCCGAGGCAGCCGCAGGCGGCUCUGGCUUUCCUCUUCACUCUUUCCUGAGGGGCUUUCCCCUGCCGCCUCCAAAGUCUGCUUCCCCAAGGACACUUCCAGGCCCUGGUCCUUCUCUCAAGGCCGAACACUGUCCACACCAGGGUGAUCCUUGAGUGGGCCCUGAGCCGCAUCCCUGCAGCCUCUGACCCUUUAGAGGCUGGACCUCGUUUCUUGAGUGUGCAGCCCACAUGGGAAGGAGCUCAGGGGCGGAUGCACGUCCAGCCAACCUGGGCUCGGGCUCCCCUGGGGCUCGGGCUCCCCGGGGCUAGCUCAGGUGAUGUAGGCUGGUCAAAACGUGGGCCUCCACCUGGUGACCGCCUUCUGCUGUGGUGACUUGCAGAUAGUACUGCAGCAGCACGUGUGGAGGCGGCCGGGGAGCCCCGGGCUGGGCUGGGCUGCCAUACCAAGUAAGUGGGUCUGAGGGUAGGAGCGCUGGCUGGCCCAGCCUCGGUCCCUUUGUCCCUCACCCAUCUGUCUGGGAAGCCAGGCCCUGCCUGUGCCUAGAAGGGACAAGCCCAUGGUCUUCUUUGAGUCAGGCCACUGGCUUACGUGUGGGCACUGGGAGGGGGGAAGAAGGGACAGAGCCAUGGUCUGAGUGGCUCCCGCAGUGGUCAGCACCAUCUCCUCUCAUUUGGACUCCCCACCACCUUACCCCUCAGCUUCCUCACCCGCCUGGCCUACAAGGUGGUGGUUAGGUCUGUAACUGGCACAGUGGGAGCUGGCCAGUGGGGUGUGGGCAUAGCGUGGCUGUGCUUCCGGGGAGGCCGGUGCACUGUGGUCCUCACUGGCAGGCUGCCCUAGGUAGCCCUGACCCCCUUGUCCCAGGAAGGCUGGCCGGCUCUGCCUGUCUGCCCUUCCUGAGCGCUCUCCAGGCCUCACUGUGGGGUGCUAGCCUGGGGCUCUGCAGCUGCCUGGGGCUGCUGCUUGGAGGUGUGGGUGGGUUUUAGGGAGGGAGACAAACCUCCACUGUUGCACACGAGCAGGACCCAGAGCAGACUUGAGGGCCACCAUCGCCUUGUGCCCACCACCAUGAGGAGGGCCUGACCGCGCCAGGCAGGCUGGAGACCUUAGUCCAGCAGGAAGGAGGGCCAGCAGCCUUGUCCCCUGGCUCACUUGCUCACUGUGUUCCUUUGGUCCCUGCUGGCUCCUACAAGCAGAUCCUGUCCCUUGAGUUUGUGUCCCAAGGACCAGACAGGUGGGCAUUCAGUCUGGACAUGGGGGUGGUGGGGUACCCUGGGAGUUCAGAGGCCCCCCAGGUUGGCUGGGGUGGGAGGGCUCCCCGGAGAGCACACACCUGCUGCGGCUGAGCCGAGGGAAGGUCUGCUGAGUCCUGAGGACAGGCCACUGCAGCCCGCUCCAGUGAGGAUGGUCGUGUGAGGGCUGUGACGAGGGAGGGGCAGCCACAGUGCCUUGCUUUCCUGGGGGUCUGGGGAAUGCACUGUGCUUGGCAAAAGCCCUCGGUGGCCUUGGAGAGCAGGAAACGAAGAGCCUUGGUGGGGAGAAGGUAGAGGCGAGGUGGGGCUUGCUGCCCCCAGGCUGAGGCUGACCUCCACGCUGGGGUGGGUGGCUGCAGGCCUCGGCUGGCAUUCAGCAGGAAUGUGUGACGGAAUGAUGGUCAGGGCCUGGUCACAGCUGCCUUCCCCCAUUUUCCAUCAUGGCCAUCAGAUUCAAGGUCAGUGUGGCCAGCGGUGGCCCUUUGUGAUGGCUGGUGAGUGGGACUGGGGCACCUUGGGAUGGCCACUCAGGCUCCUGUCCAACCCUCAGUCCCAGCCAUCUUGUGGCAUGGACAGGUCUCCACUCAGGGCCCUUCCAGAAGCUUCCUGGGGUGGGACUUGCAGGCCAGUGCAUCAGGAGGCACACACACAGAGGACCUUGUCCUGAAUGACAAGAGGACUUGAGUGCCCAGGACCAGCUGGUCAGGAAGGAUGCACAGAUGCCUGGGGCAGCAGAGGGAGAUGUGACCAUGGGGAGGAGGAGGAGGAAGCAGGAGGGGAGGUAGCCACACCGACCAGCUCCUCCCGGUGGGUGUGGGGCCCAGAACUUCCCCCACUGUAGAUGAGGUGAGUGGACACAGCAGGUGGUCUGCCAGAAGCCACCAGCACAAUGCCCUGCCCCCAUUGGCAUGGCCCUCCCACAAGCACAUCAGGAAGGGAUGUCUGCUGGCCUGUCCAUGCCCAGAGGCCCCAGGCCUUCCCCUUUCAGGUUAGGAAUUGGCAGCCUAGAGAAGCAGGGGAGGUCCUAGUGCCCCCCAGCCGUGGAGACCAGGCCCAGCUGGUCUGGGAGCUCAAGUCCUUUGGACCCUGGGAAGCGCAGCCCCCCUUCCUUCUGAGAUGGCACUGUGGGAACUCAAGGCAGGCGGGGGGCGGGGCUGGAUAGAAAGCUCAGUGGGAAGACGGAUGGAUGGGUCAAUGAAGUGACAAAAAGUGGAUGACAGACAGUGGGUAAGUGAGGGCUGAGUGGCUGGUGAGCAGGUGGGUGGAUGGAUCCAGGCGAGGAGAAGGGUAGUGGGACUGCCUGGGUGACAGAGCAAGAUGAACAGGUGGGUGGGCAGGAGGAUGACUGUGGAGAGACAGAGGAACGGCCAGGGUGCCAGUAGAUAGAGGGACCCCUGGGUGGGCAGACGGGAAAGGCGGCGGGGGACGGGGGGGGGGGCCCGCCCGGCUGCUGCAGCAGGUGCCUUUGCCUCGCGCACCUGGCCUUCUGCAUCUCUAAAGGGCGCCGUGCUAGCUGCCGAGGGGACUGGCCCUGAACGGCUGCAGGCAGGGGGCCUCGUGUGUCUGCUGCCUCCCACCUGCUCCCCUGUCGUGCCUGGUACUGCCCACUGGUGGCCAGCCCAGACUGACCCUCCCCUGUCUCCCUCUGUUAGCCGACGAGGAAGACGAGGAUGAAACUGCCAACUGCCUGUGGCGACCCCUGAGGACCCCGGAAGGGCCCAGUCCACCUGAACCUGACCCCCUGGACUUCCGAGGAGCUCUCCGUGCAUCCACCUCCUCACCCUCCCUGCCUGCCUCCCUGGCAUCUGUGCCCCCAGGGGCCGCGGGCAUGGGUUCCUUUGGGCCCUCCCCACCUUCCUCAGCACCAGCAUCUACGCUGCCCCUGCCCUCCGGGAGGACCCUGUGCACAGCGUCUGAGGCCUCCGUGUUUGAGCAGCAGCUGCUGGACUCCCACCUGCGGCAGGGUGCCCUGCUGGCCUCCUGGUCGCAGCAGCAGGGUGCGCUGAUGGCCCAGCAGAACCUGCUGCUGCAGCGGCUGGCGGAGCAGAGCCAGCGGCUGGCUGAUGGUGUCGAGGCCCUCAGCCGGACCCUGGAGCGGCUGGUGGCAGUGCGCCCAGCCCAGGAGGGCUCACCCUCCAUCCUAGAAGGUAGCCCUGCUGCUGGAGGGGCCUGUGGACCCACCAGAGGCCCCCAGGACAGUCCCCAGGGUGCCCACCCAGGCCCAGAGGUCUUCUCGGGGCUGAUCCUGAAGGUGGAGGAAGAGCUGUAGGACUGGCCCAGGGUCCCCUUUGGCACCAGGCCAGGGAGAGGACAAGGACUGAGGAAGCCUGGAGAGGGUGUGGGGCGUCUCCCCACGGUGCCUUUCUGUCCCUGGCCUUGGGUGGGUGUGGCGACCUGCCAGUCUGGCCUCAGCACCAACCUGCUGGUCCAGGCCAGGGUCUACUCAGGACAGUGGCAGUGAGUCUGACCUCCCCCUGCCUGGAGCCCCCUGGGCCCGUGGCUGCCGUUGGCUGCGGGUCACCUCUGCAGGCCGGCACCAGUGGGGGGAGGUGGGGAAAAGACGCUCAGCCCGGGGCCUCGGAGCCCUGGGGAGUGGGGACUUGGCAGCUGCGCGGGCUCAGAGGGCCCGGGCUCGGCUCCUUGAUUCUGGUUCAGGGGAGCCCCGUCCGUGAGCCUGGAGUUAAUUCUCUUCAAUUUUAUAUCAAUGUCAUAAAUACAUAAAUGCAGACAUGA